rnacentral:lncRNA from 1 species
ACAAUGGAACUGUCAAAAUAGGAUUUGAGUGUAUUUAGGCAAAAGUAGUAAGUAUUUCCUUUCAAUUCAUCAAAGCCGCAGGAUAAAAAGACAUUUCUUCACUUUUCUCUGUAGUCGUAUUACUAAAAAUCCUCGGGAUUUUCACCGCUUGAAGAUCCAACAAAAUUCGAUCAUGUAAAAGCUAUAGGAUCCCUCAGGCUUAGUACGUUUAUAUAUUCAAGAUUUCUUUAUAUAUUUCUAGAGACAAUGGAACUGCAUCAGGGACAUUUCCCUAUUUAAUGCAUGCUUGAUGCUCCGCCAUUCUUUUACAUAAUGCAAAACCUACAAGUCUUUUAAAAAAAUGUCACCGCUCUCCACGCUAAUGCCCUUAUCUCCACUCUCUAAACAACAGUAGAGUCAGUACACUCUAGGAGCAGUGUCUUGCAGGUGUUGCUAUCAGAAUGCAAAUAUAUGAAUGCAUCAUGGCUGAUACUAUAAAAAUUUCGCCAGUCUACCAUCCUACUGGUAUCUUGCUUAUCGAAAGGUGGCGAGCUAGCAGAACCGUUAGCACGCUGGGUGAAGUGCCAAGCAGUAUUUCGUCUGCCGUUACGUUCUGAGUUCAAAUUCCACCGAUGUCGACUUUGCCUUUCAUCCUUUCGGGGUCGAUUAAAUAAGUACCAGUUACGCACUGGUGUCGAUAUAAUUGACUUAAUCCGCUUGUCUGUCCUUGUGUAUCCUCUCUGUGUUCGGCCUCUUGUGGGUAGUAAAGAAAUAGGGAUGUUGCUUAUCGAGUCCAGGACGAACAAAGCAAAGCUGACUUUGGUGAGAUGCGAAACUCAGAGACUGGAGAGUCAAUAUAUUCUAUCCAACUGUCAUUUGACCAUCUUCACUUGCAUAUACAUCUAAAUUCCCACACAUGCAUAUACCCAUAUUUAUAAGUAUAUAUAUGCUUAUGGUGGUAUAGUUUUCAUGAAGAUACAAAUAAAUGCUUUCAAUUAUAUUUUUACAACCAAAAGAAAGCAAAUUAUUAACAAGUGAUAAUGCUGGUCGAUGGUUUGUAGUUUUAUCUGGUAUUUAAUCAUUUCAGCGUUGAGACCUUUUUCGGGAAAUCUACGGAAAGCGGUGCUGUUAGCGGAUAGAGAAGUCAACUCACAACGUCUUUUCUCCGAAGAUUUUGUGAAGCACGGACUCUAAACAGAAAUAUUGAAAUAUCAAAUGAAAUUAUAACCCAAAGAUCUGCAUAAUUAAUUUCUGAUAACUUGCAUUGUUUUGUCUUUAAAUUUGAUAAUUAAACCAUUUAUGUAUGCCACGGAACGAAAAGAAUUAAGAGGAGCUACUUAAGAAAAGAAGGAGGAUUUGCGCAUUUAUAAAUCAUAUUGUUGUCAGCGCAAUAAAUGACAGAAAAAAUCCAAUAACAAUUUAUACAAUACUUAGUUGAAAGAUUGAUAUAUAGCUGCUUAUUUUUUAUUACGCAAUAUUUUAUCAUAAUUACUUUAUAUAAAAAUAAUGUACAUAAAAUGUUAUGGGGAAUAUACACAAUGUUUUUCUUUGCAUGAUUAGAUUCAAUUUCAUAGUAAAUUUAAAAAAAAAACAUUCUUUCUUUUUGUUUUCCUAAAAUAUUUCAUUUCCAGUCACAAUGAAAUAUUAAAUGAUUUUAAAAUUUCUCUCCUGUAAAUACUUUAUAUUUCUCUCUCUCUCUCCCUCCCCCUCUCUCUCCCUAUAUCCCUCCUUAUUUCUCCCUCCCCCUCUCUCUCCUUCUUUCCCUCCUUCUUUUUCCCCUCUCCUCUCUCUCUCUCUCUUUCAUUACCUCUUACUUCAACAAGCUUCUUACCCAUGUGAUUCCCUCUUGACUUCGUUAACUUUUCUCUGUCUCACUUCCACUAACCACGUGACAACGUAAUUAGUGGGAGAGGCUAUCUGCUAUCUCACUCCUCCUCCUCUCUCUCUCACUCUCACACUCCAUUUCCCUUUCUCUCUCCCUCUCCUGCCUUUUCUCUCACUCUCAGUCCACUUCUCAUUCACUCCGAAAUCACUCUCCAACAAACUAAAGCGUUGAGUGUGAACGAACGAACAAGCAAAAUUAUAAUUUAGAUCUUUAUAUAUGAAAAUAUAAAUAAUUUUUUCGCAAAAUUACAUUUUUGUUCGUCUAUGGUUUUGUGAAUUCUUUAUUUUAAGCAGACAGUCAAGACUUCUUUAAACUCGUUACCUCUUGGAAUAUAUGGACAUAUACGUACACACAUAUACACACACAUAUAUACUGAAUCCAGGACAGACUGAAUUCAAUGGCGGUACGUUGCGACUGUUUCGAAUCUAUUAUUUACCUGUAUUGAAGAAAAGAAGAGUUACAAUACAAGAAGAAUUAAUGUACCAAAUGUGCAAUUUCAACGAUCUAUGUCUGUUAUGGUUUACUUUUGCAUUAUUUUUGCCUUAACCCUCGUGUGUAGUAUGUAUGUAUAUAUACAUGUCUCUCUCUAUGUCUGUCUGUCUGUCUGUCUGUCUGUCUCUCUCUCUCUCUCUGUAUAUAUAUAAAUAAAUAAAUGUGCCCUGUUAAAGCCUAGCCAGGCUCAUGGGCCCGUUUUCCCGGUUUCAAUGGCAUAUGUGGUCCCCAACUAGACGGGACGCCAGUCCAUCGCAGCGUUACUCAGUUUUGCCAGCUGAGUGGACUGAAGCAACGUGAAAUGAAGUGCUUUGCUCAAGAACACAACGCGUCGCCCGAUCUAGGAAUCGAAACCACAAUCUUACGACCAUGAUGCUCACACCCUAAUCACUAAGCCACGCGCCUCCACACACACACACACACAUAUAUACAUAUACACAAGUGAGUAGGUAUGUAUAUGCUUGUAAGUGUGUAGCGGAUAUUUAAUUAAGUGCACAAAUGUGCGGAAAAAGGAUACCGUAUUUGUUGGAACGAUUGCCAGUUACCCAAUACAAUUUAGUUGUUCAAUUCCGAAUGUUAAAAGGGCCAAGCUAACCUUGGGUGGAUUUGAUCUGUGUAAAUUAAUCAAUGUUCUCUGAAAUUAUUACUUUGUCUAAAACCUUUAUUGUCAUAUUACUAAAUAUUUCUAAUUGUGGAAUUAGGCCAGUCAUGUAGAAGAAUUUAAUGAAUUUCUAACUCGUGUAAUUAGUUGGUUUUUUUUUCUUUUAUAUUUUCUACACGUGAUCAAGGCAAUGAGCUGGCGGGAUUGUUAGUAUGCCGCAGAAAAUGCUUAGCGUUCCGAGUUUAAAUUCCGCCGAAGUCGGCUUUAUCUUUCAUACUUUCGGAGUCGAUAAAGUAAGUUACCUGUUGCGCACUGAGGUUGAUAUAAUUGGCUUACCCUUCUCUGAACUUGCUGGCCUUGUGCUAAAAUUUGAUCUAAUAUUUUCUACACGAGAUAGAUGAAUAAACAAGAAAACACCAAGUGUUGAAAUCUGUGCAUAAAGUACGAGUAAAUACUGCAAUGUAUCUUCCCCGGCUUUCUGCAACUUAUAUUUUCCUCACUGCCUUGUAAUUUUAACAACCGAACUGCAUUCAAAAUAACAAUUAUAAAACAUAGAAGAAAACAGAGGGAAAAUCACAAGAAUUAACUGCUAUAUUAUAUUUAUAUUGAUAGAACUCUAAACUGAAUAAAAAGAACGCUUAUUUACAAAAAAAUGGAAUCUCACGAAAUGUUUCUCUUAAUUAGUAUCGAACCCUAAUGGCAUUUUCUUUUUAAGGUAUGAUUACAUGCAUAAGGCGGCGAGCUGACAGAAUCAUUUAGCACGCUGGGCGAAAUGCGUAGCCGUAUUACGUCUGCCGCUACGUUCUGAGUUCAAAUUACACCCAGGUCGACUUUACCUUUCAUCCUUUCGGGGUCGAUAAAUUAAGUACCAGUUACGCACUGGUGUCGAUGUAAUCGACUUAAUCCAUUUGUCUGUCCUUGUUUGUCCUCUCUGUGUUUAGCCCCUUGUGGGUAGUAAAGAAAUAGGCAUUUCGUCUGCCGUUACGUUCUGAUUUCAAAUUCCGCCGAGAUAGACUUUGCCUUUCAUCCUUUCGGGGUCGAUAAAUUAAGUACCAGUUACGCACUGGGGUCGAUGUAAUCAACUUAAUCCGUUUGUCUGUCCUUGUUUGUCCUCUCUGUGUUUAGCCCCUUGUGCGUAGUAAAGAAAUAGGUAUGAUUACAUGCAUAAAUACAAAUGACAUAAAAUGUAAUUGAUAAUGUAAAUGUUAACAAAGAUAACCAUAAAUGCGUUGAAGCGAGGAAUAUAAAAUUCUUGUGAUGAAUCUAACUUCCGAAACAUGCGCACUUAUAAUAAACAGAAUAUCCACAGGUUUCUUUAACACAUUGAAGGCGUGUGGAUUUGUAGUUAAUAAUAUUGGGCACACGUUCUUAAGGCUGUGGGAGUGAUUCCUGCACUGUGUUAAACUUGAGUCCCUGCGCAUGAGCGAAAUGCUUCAGUUUAUGUUGUAGAAAUUCGCUUAGUGGAAAAAGAGGAAGGAGCCUUGCAUAAUUAAUCGUCUAAAUACCUUAGAAAAAUGUAUACACUCGGGCCUCACUAGCCCCUAUGUUUGAUGGCAUUAGUAUUAAUUAGAUACAGAAAAUUUUGGCUGAGUGUAUAUAUAUAUAUAUAUAUAUAUAUAUAUAUAUAUAUAUAUUAUCAAUAAUAAUAAAUGGUAAAAUUAAUUAAAUUAAUUAAUUAAUAAUUAAUAAUUUUAACAAGUAGUUCGGUAUGUUAAAAGAACCAUUAUCGUUAAACUUAUAUAAAAAUUCUAUAAUUAUGAGUAUAAUUAUAAUUUGGGUUCAGCAAAAUUUGCUUCACCACAUACCGAAAUUUUAGAAAUAGCAGUUAAAAACUACUAUUUCACUACCAUAAGAAAAUCUCCUAGAGAUUUUGUUAUGGUUGUGAAAUAGUAGUUUUUAACUGCUAUAAGCAAAUUUUGCUGAACCCUAAUUAUAAUUAUAAUCAUAAUUAUAGAAUUUUUAUAUGUUAUAUAUGUAGAUGCAUACACGUUACCACUCAAUGACCAUAUAUUGCAUUGCAAUGUCGCUUACACAGAUUAUAUUCCCCCCAUCUAUUCUUCAUUCACUUCUAAUGCUGACAUUGGAAUAUAUAGGCUGAAAGUCUACUUUUCUAUGACUGGCAGUCAAAUCUCACUCAAAUCACAAUUUAAACUUUAAGAAAAAAAACAGAAAUAUAUUGGAAAUGUGGAGGCGCAAUGGCCUAGUGGUUAGGGCAGCGGGCUCGCGGUCGUAGGAUCGCAGUUUCGAUUCCUAGACCGGGCGUUGUGAGUGUUUAUUGAGCAAAAACACCUAAAAGCUCCACGAAGCUCCAGCAGGGGGUGGUGACCCCUGCUGUACUCUUUCACCACAACUUUCUCUCACUCUUUCUUCUGUUGGCCUGUUCGCUUAGCCAGCGGGGUGGCGUCAUUUGAAGGCUAAAACAAUGCAAGCGCAUUGUGAGCAACGAUGUGUAACUACAUCUGAUAGCCUGGUCGGUCACGGUGAUCACGGUGAUAUUGGAAAUACUUUAGAGAAAAAUUAUGACGGUAAUCUGUACGAUUCAGUUAGAGGCGGCGAGAUGGCAGAAGCGUUAGCACGCCGGGCGAUAUGCUCAACGGUAUUUCUCCCGUCUCUACGUUCUGAGUUCAAAUUCCGCCGAGGUAGACUUUGCCUUUCAUCCUUUCGGGGUCGAUUAAAUAAGUACCAGUUACGCACUGAGGUCGAUAUAAUCGACUUAAUCCGUUUGUCUGUCCUUGUUUGUCCUUUCUGUGUUUAGCCCCUUGUGGUUAGUAAAGAAAUAGGCAUGCUCGUACAGUGUAAUCCUGGGGCAAGAUACCACACCCAGUAAGCAGAAGAAGAACAACAACAGCAACGUAAUUCAUUUAUAUUUUCUUUCUCGCAUAUUCUGUUUUCGCUUGAAUUGCUUUAUUUUAUAUUAUUAUGUUUGUUCUCAUAAACACCCCAAAACAAACAAACACAUAUUCUCCCUACCUCUCCCUACCUCUCUCUCUCUCUCUUUCUCUCUCUCUCUCUCUGCCUUCAUUCAAAUCCACAUAUAUAUUCCCUGUUCUUCUUGCUUUAUAUUACCGACCGAUAACGAACGCGCUUCUACUUUCACUUUCAGCAUUGUUAUUCAAGGGGAAUAAUAUUAUUUGGCUGCUAUGUCCAGAUAACUACUUAAGAAGGGCGGCGAAUAACAAAAUAAAACAGAAGUUGAUAACUUCCACUUGCCUAUUCUCACUGCUAUAUCAAAUUAUUUAUGCAGGUAUCGCUCUUAAGCUGACGUGCUGCUUUAAAGUAAAAAAUCAAAAGAUGUGAUUAACUUAGAUCUUCGGGCAAACCUAAGCUUAACAGAUUCACUGAGGAGGCAUUUUCUUAUGCAUAACAGAAUUGCAAUAGAUGCAGAGAAGUCAUUUAUAUGUAUGUAUGUGUGUAUAUACACAUAUAUAGGCAUUCAUGUAUAUGUAUAUGCAUAUAUAUAUGUAUAUAUAUAUGUAUAUAUAUAUGUGUGUGUGUGUACAGAUAUACAUAUGUAUAUGUGUGUGUGCGUAUUUAUUUCUGUAUACAUGUAUAUAUAUAUGUAUGUGUGUGUGUAUACGUAUGUAUGAAUGCGUGUAUAUAUGAAACAGCCAAAUAUUAAUAUUUAUGAACGCCUCAGUUCUUGCCAAAAGCGAUAUUUAGAAAUAUAUCCGAAUACAUGACAUACAUGCGCACAAACACAUACUACAUGUACAUCAUACGUAUAUAUAUAUAUAUAUAUAUAUAUAUAUAUAUAUAUAUAUAUAUAUAUAUAUAUAUAUAUAUAUAUAUAUAUAUAUAUAUAUAUAUAUAUAUAUGUAUAUAUAUAUAUAUCUAUAUGUAUAUAUAUUUAUAAGUAUAUAUAUAUAUAUAUAUAUAUAUAUAUAUAUAUAUAUAUAUAUAUAUAUAUAUAUAUAUGGGGUUUGUACUAUCAAUUCUUUAUAUACAUUUGGUUUGCACCUUAAAAGUUAAAAUAAAAAUACCUGUAUCUAACCUGUGGUCAGCGAAGUAUUAUUACAUGCACGCUUCCAUUAAGUGCUCGGACACCUAAACACAUAUAGUAUACAUAUAAACACAUAAACACACAGAGCAGUAUACAUAUAUGCGUACACACAUAUUAAUGAAAAGAGCACAUAGAAAGACAUGCGCAUUACUUACACAUAUAAAUAUAUGUAUGAAUAUAUAUAAGUAUAUAUAUAUACAUAUACAUACACAAAUGUAUAUGUAUAUAUCUGUAUGUAUAUAUACGUGUAUAUGUAUAUAUAUAUAUAUAUAUACACAUACAUUUUGGGGCACAUGCAUACUCACAGGUAUACAUGUACACAUACACGUUUACUUUAUUUAAUCAAAUUGAUGGUUGCUCAUUGACUUUGUUUCCUUAUGGGUCCAGCUUAUGGCUGAUUUGAUUCCCAUGCUGCUUUGGGUAUUAAAUGUGCAGAGAAUAUUUUCAUGUCGUCCCAGUGAUUCCUUGCUUUCACUUAUUUGUCAGCUAACCAGGUAACCCAUGAUCACGUUUGAGAACAUUUCUACCUGCAUUCAAUUACGCAUAUCAUGGCUGGCCAUAUAUAGAAGCAAAAUGCCAUUUUGCUGCACACACACACAUACAGUCGAAUACAUAUAGAAAAGGAACAUAUAUAUAUAAAUAUACACACACACGCACAUAUAUAUAUAUAUAUAUAUAUAUAUAUAUAUAAAGAUAUAUAUUUAUUUAUAUAUAUAUAUAAAUAUACACAUAGACAUAUAUAUAUAUAUAUAUAUAUAUAUAUAUAAAUAUAUAUAUAAACAUAUAUAUAAACAUAUAUAUAUAUGUGAAUGUAUAUCUGUGUGAGUGUGUAUGUGUGGGUAUGAUAUAUAUGUGUAUGUAGCAAUAUAUACACCUUUACACAAAUUACCUUUAUAUGUAUAUAUAUAUAGCUUAUAUAAUCUUUACAUAAAUGGCAAUUUCUGUCUCUCGAUCUGUCUGAUACCAUCUUGCUACCUACAUCAGUGAACCAGUGUUGACGAAUCUUUGCAUAUAUUUUAAGCUAAUAUCCAGUUCAAUUAUAGGCUAAUUGGAUUUCACUGAAAUCUAUAAUGUGAGCGUAUCAAAUAAUAGCCCACCCCUAUUGGGGUUGGCUAUUAUUUUUUAAAAUGGGAAGGGUGCAAAAGUGUUAGUAUGAUGGGAAUGUGGUGUGGCAUAGUGCGUGUGACUGAUAUCAGGGAAAUGGAGAACAAUAUUCUGUAAGUGAAAAAUAUGGAGUGGCACAGUGGGAUGAUAACAUUAAUAGAGCUGCCAUUCAGGGAUAUAUACGCGAUGCUGCAUACAUACUUUCGUAACUACAUAGAUACAUGCAGACACACACACUGCAACCACAAACACACACAUGCACAUAGACAUAAGUAACUUUUAAAACACCAAGGGAGGGAAAGAAAGGUGGAUGUGAGGAAUAAUACGUAGCUUUAAAGAGAGAGGGGUAGGCAGCUUUUCAGCUGUCCAUCGCAAACACUCACAGGUAGACACACACAUAUCUAUAUAUAUAUUUACAUACAUACGUACCCACAUACAUACAUGCAUACGUACAUAUGUCAACCAUACGCUAUUUUAAACUCGUGAUUACCAGUUUGUAUGUUUGCAGAUGUAUGUGUGUGAGAGAGAGAGAGAGAGAGAGAGAGAGAGUGAGAGAGAGAGAGAAAGAGAGAGAGAGAGAGAGAGAGAGAGAGAGAGAGAGAGAGAGAGAGAGAGAGAGAGAGAGAGAGAGAGAGAGAGAGAGAGAGAAAGUCAUAUAACUGUCUGUCUGUCUACUUUUGUAGGGUCUUCGCUGUUGCUGUCUCAUAUUGUAAAAUUUUAAAAUUGCGUCAAACUUUUCAAAUUUGCUGCAUUGAAAUAAUUUCCCGCGUCAAAUCGGAAUUUGUCAUUUAUUUGUUUCAGAAAAGUUGCAGAAACAUGUUACUGAGGUUAAAAUUUAAUCAAUCUUACCUAUCACAAAAUGAAAGCGAAAUCAUUACAAGGAAGUUUUAUUAAACAAACGAAAGCAAAGAAUUACGACGAUCAAAGUUGUAAGAACGUCUGAAGUUUUAAUAAGUUUUAAUGAAUAAAGUCACGUGAAAGUGCUGAACUGACAUGUAAAUAAUUUAAAGGGGAAAAAAUCCUUGAGGUAAAUAUUUUGUGAAAAAAAUCAGGACACAAAUCUGUCCUGAUCAAGACGAAGGCACAGUCUGACACGGAAUAAACAAAAAUUUGUAGAAGUCGGUCGAUUGUAAAAACUUCCCGGCAACGAAGGGCUAUUCAGCUAGCAUAUAUAUAUAUAUAUAGCAGUAUCGCCCGGCGUUGCUCGGGUUUGUAUAACUAUAUAAGCAUUUUUAGAGAGUUACUUCCCUUAUAGAUGCCAAUUCGGGCUUUCUUAGCCAUUUCUGUUUUGGUGUCUUCAAGCCAUGAAGUCGUUGUUCUAAAAGAACGCUGGUCUCCUUGACAACGCAUUACGACGUUGAUUUCCUUACACUCCCUUCCCCACAGCUUCACGAGGGAGGGAAGAAAUGGGAGAAGCAAACAGGUGCAGGUGUGACCAUGGACGCCAACUCAGCCGCCAUCGACACAUGAAAAUUUAUGCAUUAAAAUGGAAUAAAAAAUGAUGUUAAAUUAUUUUUAAAAUUGUAGACUCAUCGUAGACGCGCGCUAAUAGCCAGACGGGCUCGAUAUUAAUCACGACUAUAAGAUACCCGAAUUUGGUUAAACUGCACCGCAAAAUGUGGGAGGAGUUAGGAAUCUAAAUCGUAGGAGACAGACACUCACACAACUACAGUUUUAUAUAUAUAGAUAUAACUUCAUAUAUAUUCAUACACGAAUUAAUAAUCUGUCUACAAAUCCCUUUUUCUCCCUCCCUCUUUCUUCUCUCUCUUUAUCUCUCGCUCUCUCUAACAUCCAUCCAUACAUACAUACAUACAUAUAAAUAAACACAUUCAUGGCGGUAUGUUGGAAGAAGUUUCAGUGUCGCAUAAAUUACUGUGCGCUAAUUGUUCCGAAUAAUGCAUAUACGUGGUCGACCAAAAUGAUGUGACACAUUUGGAGGCAUAAUAAAAGCACAAAAUAAGAAAUAAUAAAAAGAAAAAUUUAUUUUCUGAAUGCAUAUAUGGUGAAAUGUGGAAUGGUGAAAUAUGAUUUCUUCUUGAGGGGAUAUUCAAAGUAUUCAGUCAUCGCCCUCGAUCUAUUGAAGAAUUAAAAUGUGCAAUUUGUGUAGAAAUAGCAAGCAUUCCAGAAGAAAUUAUCCAAAGAGUUAUCGAUAACUUUGAUGAACGUCUCCAAUAGUGUGUUGACAAUGAUGGGAAGCAUUUAGCUGAUUUAAUUUUUAAAACUUAAUGAAAUAAAAUGGCAAUAUAUGUACAUUCAGAAAAUAAAUUUUUUCUUUUCAUUAUUUCUUAUUUUGUGCUUUUAUUAAGCCUCCAAAUGUGUCAGAUCAUUUUGGUCCUCCCUGUAUAAGCCAUGAAUAUAACUUAUAGAUUUCUAAAUUAUGCAUUGGCUCUCAUCUCAAGCCGCAGCAAGAUCAAGCUGUUUGCAGAUUGUACAAUAUGCUUAACUUGAAACAAGAUAUAACCUGGCGAGAAAAAUGAUCUGCUUUAUGGUGGUUUAGUGUAUGUUUUGUUCAAAUUGAAACAACCACGCAAAACAUGAUGUAUAGAAGGUUUCAUAUACACACAAAUUAUGUUUUUGAGAUAUUUACGAUAUGAGAAAUAACUGUUUUCUGUUACUUGAAGUUAGUUCCAUGUGAACGACUAAAUAUUCAUUUUGUUCCAUCUAAUUAAGAAAAUAUAGAACUAGAAAUGUGUAAUUAUGUGCAAUUAUAUAAUCAUAAUUAUUAUUUCAUAAACAGAGGAAUUUAAAAGUCUCUUAAUUAUCCAACAUAUUCUCGGAUUUUGGUAAUCAGCAGCAAAUAUUGUGCAUAUGUGGAGAAAGCUAUUUCAUAGUAGUUAAUUUCAGUAUUAUUGCGUCACAGAAUACAAGGUUUGUUUUAGAUUCAUUUAUUAUCCAUUCCUAAUAAUGGUUUCAAAUUCUGGCACAAGGUCAGCAAUUUUGGGAGGGAGUUAAGUCGAUUACAUCAUCCCCAGUGCUCAACUGGUACUUAUUAUAUGGGCCUCGAAAGGAUGAAAGGCUAAGUCGACCUCGGUGGAAUUUGAACUUAGAAGCUAAAAAAUGGACGAAAUGCCGUUAAGCGGCGUGCCAAAGAUUCUGGCAGCCCGUUCCCAAAUCCAUUCCUAAUAAUCUCUGUCCAAGCUCUUCUCUUAUCUGUUGCUAAGCUUUGUUGUGUAUCCACCCAUAUAAAGGAGAUAUUGUGAGUGAGAAUUAUCAACAAUAACAACUAGUCGAAUACAAGUGAGACAGUGGAUUGACGAAGUCGUUAGAAUGUUAAAUUGAAUGCCCCGUGGUGCUUGUUGUAGCCCCCUCUGAUGGGCUCAUAUCCUGUCGCGAUCAACUUUGCAUGUAUGCUUUCGGGAUCGAUAAACAGAAACAAUCAAAGGAACAGUAUGAAUCUGGGACUAAAUAAUUUGUGGCAUUUGUUUUUGAUCUUUAGAAUAUGAGUUCAAAUCCUAUCAUUCAAGUGGUAGACUUGAAAUGUGACCCGGUUUAACACCACCAUUUGAUAUCUUGAAUAACUUCAAUGGCUUGUACUCUGUUUCAAGGAUUAGGAUUAGGUUUCUCAUUUGAGGAUUCUGUACUCUCUCACUCCCACUAAUCCAGGAGGCCUGGUAAGGAGUCAUAUACAAUAUCUUCUCUCCUCAUUAAAAGUUUAAAUGCGUUAACUUCCCAUAAUCUUAAUCAUUAUUUUCUUUAAAAUUCAUUAAUUUUAUAACUGGCAAUUGUCACCCAUAACCAGGUUAGAGCGUUCUCUAUUGGGCUGAUGAAAACAUUUUGAACUGUUUAGUUCUGUUUAGUACAAGAUACAAAAAAAUUAAGGGAUUUGAUAGAGAAAGAGCUGUUGUAUAAUUUCCACAUUUACCAGGUCUGAGGCCACUAAACUUUUUUAUAGUGAUACUUCAGAGAUAAAUGCCAAGAUAUAAAACGAGCAACAGUCGACGAAUGAAGAACAGUUAUGGAAUGUGAACGUGUACGAAUAUCAGACGAAAUGAUUUUUUACCAUUGUUUUUACGAUUCCAUUACUGGACCAGAACGGAAAUUUAUUAGAAUGUGUAAAAGGCUUUUCACUGUAGUUUGUUAUGGACACAAGACUGUCAAAACAUCACUUACAUUCCAGAGGCUGAUGAAAGCAUUUCGAACUUUUUAGUUCUCUUUAGCACGAGAUACCAAAGAAUGGCAACUCUGACUUGAUUAUGAAGCUCGACUUCCUUCAUAAGAAAUUAGUCAAUAUUGUUAAUUAACAGAGUAUAUCGGCGAAUAGGGUGGAACAAACACGUGAGAAGUUGUGUGAGGCAAUAAGUGAAAGCAAACAACAUUGAAACCAGUCCAAAUAUGCUUGAGAGAUAUAUGAACCAGCAAAAGAGCGUUGAGAAAGUGUUCUCCAUCAGACACUCAUUUACCUUCAAUAGAUGCCUCUUCAUAUUUCAAGGUAUGUACAUAUGUAUGUAUGUAUGUAUGUAUGUAUGUACGUAUGUACGUAUGUAUGCUUGUAUGUAUGUUUGUAUGCAUGUAUGUACAUAUGUAUGUAUGUAUGUUUGAAUGUAUGUAUGUACAUAUGUAUUUAUGUAUGUAUGUAUGUAUGUAUGUAUCUAUCUAUCUAUCUAUUUAUCUAUCUAUCUAUCUAUCUAUCUAUCUAUCUAUCUAUCUAUCUAUCUAUCUAUAUAUCUGUCUGUCUGUGUGUGUUUGUGUAUUGUAUAAAGGAUCGUGGGUGAUGCCAAAACAAUGCGAAGUAAAUACGAGGUAAAUCACAAGAAAACAAAUAUGUGAAUUAAUGUAGACUUAAUUUGUAUUCAAUAUUUAGGGGUUAUGACCCCAUUUUCAAACACCGAAAUAUUGAAUACAAGGUAAGUCUACGUUAAUUAACAUAUUUUGUUUUCUUGUGAUUUACCUCGUAUUUACUUCGCAUUGUAAAUACCUAUUUUGCAGGAAAAACUGUUGGCGGCCGGCAUACAUACAUACAUAUGUAUUUAUAUAUAUAUAUUUAUAUAUAACAUAAUCAGCCAUCUGAAUGUGGCUAGGGACAGGGCAGGGCGGUGGGGGUGUUACUGAUGCAUUUAGCCCCAGGCGAUCAUCAACGUCACCAGGAGGGCUGACACCAUCUCGGUGUCCUCUAGCCUGCAAAGGGAGAUCAUUCCCCGAAGAAGCGGAUGCUACAUACGGACCAGGUUUCAAGGUAUUUGCCUAUUAUCAACGCAUGGUAAGGACCGCUCUCCGACGAAUAACUCUCUGUCCGCUUCUUCGGGGAAUGAUCUCCCUUUGCAGGCUAGAGGACACCGAGAUGGUGUCAGCCCUCCUGGUGACGUUGAUGAUCGCCUGGGGCUAAAUGCAUCAGUAACACCCCCACCGCCCUGCCCUGUCCCUAGCCACAUUCAGAUGGCUGAUGCCCCUUAUGUUAUAGAGCAGUUACUGUUUAUAUCUCGUUUAGAGAUUUAUUAUAUUUAUAUAUAUAUAUAUAUAUAUAUAUAUAUAUGCAUAUGUUUGUAUAUAUAUUAUAUAUAUGCAUAUAUAUAUGUAUAUAUAUAUACAUAUAUACAUAUAUAUAUAUGUAUAUAUACAUAUAUACAUUAACACACACACACACACACACACAUAUAUAUAUAUAUAUAUAUAUAUAUAUAUGUAUAUAUGAGGGUGUUCUAGAGCAAAAUGUAUAUGCAAUUUAAGAGAUGACGACUUCAUUGUCAUUUCGUUUUAGAUUUAACCCAUUAAGAACAAUGAAAAGAGAAAGACGAAGCUUUGAGAAGACGAAUUUUAACCCAAAGAGCUACCGGAAGUUCCAAAAUUCAGAUGAAGUACGAAUAAAAUUAAAGAGGGUGUUUCAAACGGGUACAUCUACGCAAUUUACCAUCAUUUGAAUGAGAGAAUUAUGAAGCAGACAGCACUAUUCAGAAUGUCUACACAAGAUGUUCCUGAAGACCGCGGAUAUCGAUGAGCCCCAGAAGCGAUAGACAAGUGAUUUGAUCGAAAAAGCUAUGUUGUAUAACUUCCUCGUUUACCAGACCGGGGACCACAAAGCCCUUUUAUGGUGAUACUUAAGAGAUAAAUGCUACGAUACAAAACAAGCAACAGUCGACGAACGAAGGGCAGCUAUGGAAUAAGAAUAUCACACGAAAUGUUUUUUAAACAUUAUUUUUACCUUUCCAGAACGGGCAUUAAUUUGAAACCAGGCGUUCAUAAGAAGAUAAUUAAAUUUCGUGUGUAGAUUCGAUUCGAUUAUGAAAAUUCAAUCUAUUGCAGUAAACACUGACUUUAUAAUGAUUCAAUGUAUGUAUACCUUAUUUGGUGUCUCCCUGCACAAACACACACACACACACACUAAUAUUAUCUGGCACUUAUAUAUACAUAUAUACAAGCACAAACACACACACACACACAAACAUUAUCUGGUACUUUCAUUGGGAAGCUAUUAGUAAUGGUAUUUUACAUUAAUGACGAAAGAUUGCAAUAGUUGUUGGUUCAAUAAAGGUUAACUAUUCUUCUUGACCUUCUAGGUCUACCAAAAUGCCGAAACUCAACAGUAUGUGGUAUAAUCCUUAGCAGAAAUUUUGGUAAUGGAAUCACAAUAUUAUUUAUUUAGAGUCUAAUAGUAUUCAAUCGUAAAUUGGAUUUUGUUUUGGUUUGGUUAGGUUAAUAUUGUGUCAUCCCAUCGGAUUUCUGUUGUCAUUAACGUUAAAACAAAUAUUGGCUGAUUCUGACACCGGUUCCCCUAAAGAAUAUUGCGUUUGAAUAAAUGAGAAUAGCUUGUUCGUACAGGGUAAUAGUAAAUGUGAGAGAAUGCCAAAUAUGGCAUAAGAUAUUUUGCACUGAUUAUCAUAGAAUGCGUGCAACUAUAUUAACGGGGCUCAGACGUUCGCUUUGCAAUUAUAUUAUUUCGCUGGCGAUGGCAGAGCAUCGCUUAGUGAGCGAGUGUCGUGUCUUGAAUGUUGCUAACCUUCGGUCAACCAAGGUUUACUGAGAAAAAUUUGGUACGGGGACACUGUACUACCUCAAUGCAGUGGAAUGAAAUUGAACUACAAGGUUAAUGAAAUUACAUAGAAACAAAUACAACAAAUACAAAACGAAUGUUGAUUCCGUGAAAUUUCUUUAAAAGAGAAGGUAAAAUAGGAGAUAAAAGAAACGUUUAGUGGCAAUUGUAUCCGACUCCAGAUGAUAAGGUGAUAAUUUCAGUGAUCAAGAAUUUCCCGGAAAUGACAUGCCAUUAAGAGAAAAGAGUAGUUGUUUUUUUUUUUGUCAUGGAAAUAAGAGGACGAAAAGAGACCCUCGAUUUUGAUAAAUUAUGUUUCAUUUGCACGGUAGUUGUUUUACUAUUGGUCAAAUUUAAUUUACACAAAUUAAACAAAAAAUCUACUAAGCGAAAAAUCAUUAAGUGUCACUCACCUAUACAUAUAUGCCACCUAUACAUACAUACAUACAUACAUACAUACAUACAUACAUACAUACAUGCACUCGCAUGCAAACACAUACGCACACAUAUACACAGGCACCACAUAUAAUGAUGUCUGUUCACACCUAACCGAGGAAAGGCAUCAUUGACCAUUGCCUAUGCAAAACGCUAGUAGUGCUCAUACAUGAGGUUAUUGCACCAGCAUUCGGCUUCCCUUGCAUUCGCAUCUGCGUCUUCUAUGCUGGCCCCGCCGCCCUCUUACUCAACCGAAUAUCGGUCAGUCAUCUCACACAGUCUAGAAUUUUAGGUCCAAUAAUGCUUUCAUAGAACCUCACAUACCCUCUCCAUUCUAGUGACAUGAUACACAAUGAAAGAUACCCAGUGUCAAUGUGGGUUGCAAGCUCAGUAAUGUGGGUCACAAUGAUCGGAAGCGCAAACAAAAAUCCCCAAAAUGUCCAGUACCGUUCCUUGGAUUUAUAUGAGAAACAUGUUCUCCUAGAAACAUGUUUAACAAGGACUAAGGGGUGCCUUACUCACAGUGGUCUUCCAGCACGGCAUAAGCCAACUCGGAAUUUCUGAGGGCCCGUGCUAGAUAAUCAUUGGACCUGUACUAAGUUCAUCUGUUCUUUUGACAGGUUUUGUAUUUGGCGGCGAGCUGCCAGAAACGUUAGCACGCCGGGCGAAAUGCGUAGCUGUAUUUCGUCUGCCGUUACGUUCUGAGUUCAAAACCCGCCGAGGUUGACUUUGUCAUCCUUUCGGGGUCGGUAAAUUAAGUACCAGUUACGCACUGGGGUCGAUGUAAUCGACUUAGUCCGUUUGUCUGUCCUUGUUUGUCUUAUCUGUGUUUAGCCUCUUGUGGGUAGUAAUAGGUUUUGUAUUUGGUCCUGCUAGGUCCCUAGCAACUCUCCUCACUAGGCAAGCCUAUUAAGGGUACCUUUUCAGUCACUGAUGACUCAGCUAUGCAAUAAGUUGUACUGGAUUCCAUGUUACCCUUAGCACGCAUGAGACACCUCACAAGCGAUGUAACAAGCAGAUAUAAAAACACACACACACACACAUGUACGUGUAUCUUUCUCUGUUUUAGAGAAUUGCGGCUGAAUUGAUGCGUCAGACUAAAAUAUCCGAAGUGACUUGUUUUCGAAACCCUGUAAAAAUAUUCAAAAGUAAUGGGCCAUAUGACUAACAAAAAUGUCUGAAACCAUUAAAAGAAUCUUGUUAACGGCUUUUGUAACCUAAUACUUUUGUUGGUUGUACGGCGUCUUGUGUACAACGUUGAUGUGGGCGAAGAUUUUUCCAGAAUAAAGACGAAAAAUGAAACGAUCAUAAUCACAGUCCCUCAGUAUAAAUAAUUAAACAAAAUUUUCUGGCCAAUAGGCCAGAAAAUCUGUGAUACGGCUUGUGUGUGUGAUACGCAUGAAUCUUUGAUUUAAGUGCGUCGUAAGCAAACAAGCAAUAACAAGCAAUAAACAAGGCAAUGACUCUUGAUGAAUCAUUUGAAAUUAUAUUGCUUAUGUUAUUGUCAAUGAGGCUGAAUCAACAUUAUUCUAUUUACCAUGAUGUUUAUAGGUUAUAAGAUCCUUAGUGCUUUGGCAAUUUACAGAACAAUGGCAUUAAUAAUUUCAGGCAACGUACAGAGCUACAACAUAUUAAAUUCGCUAAAAUUUUCGGAGUUAUGGCAUCGCUAUAGUUAUCUAUAUAUAUAAAACUGUAGUUGUGUGAGUGUCUGUCUCCUACGAUUUAGAUUCCUAACUCCUCCCACAUUUUGCGGUGCAGUUUAACCAAAUUCGGGUAUCUUAUAGUCGUGAUUAAUAUCGAGCCCGUAUGGCUAUUAGCGCGCGUCUACGAUGAGUCUACGAUUUUAAAAAUAAUUUAACAUCAUUUUUUAUUCCAUUUUAAUGCAUAAUUUUUCGUGUGUCGAUGGCGGCGGAGUUGGCGUCCACGCUCAAACACCUGCACCUGUGUUUGCUUCUCCCCCUUCUUCCCUCCCUCGUGAAGCUGUGGGGAAGGGAGUUUAAGGAAAUCAACGUCGUAAUGCGUUGUCAAGGAGACCAGCGUUCUUUUAGAACAACGACUUCAUGGCUUGAAGACACCAAAACAGAAAUGGCUAAGAAAGCCCGAAUUGGCAUCUAUAAAGGAAGUAACUCUCUAAAAAUGCUUAUAUAGUUAUUUCCCUUACAAACCCGAGCAACGCCGGGCGAUACUGCUAGUUAAAAUAUAAAGCGUUAACCAUACGACAGACUAAUAUUUUUGUUACAUAACUAAUACGAUAAUUUUUGCUAAAGACGUGUAAUGAAGAAGGACUCUUUACAAAGAGGUAUUAAGUUUGAUGAUUAAUCGAAUAAUAUGUAAUUUGAAAUAUGAAUGAAUCAAUAUACAAUUAAACGUAAAUAAUGUUGGAUUUAUAAAUAUGGGUAUGUAAUUACACAUGGUAAUAUACUGUAUAGUUAGAACUAUAAAAUGUAAUUAAAUUAUACGUAAUUAACAGUACUUAAUCACAACUAGGAAAUACAUUAUAUGAUGUACACGCUAUUAGAGUCUGGUAAUUACAGAUAUAUUUGGUUCAGGAUUUUGUUGAGUGUGGGUUUUUGUUACCAUAAAUUAUAUUGUAGCGAGGCUGAAAGUAUUUGAUACUGUGGGGAGGUAAAAGUAAUGGUUAACGAUAUGUUAUUGACUUUACAUUUCACAGCGACAAACUCUAGGCGAUAAUUGUGAUUUAAUGAAAUCAAUAUAGUGAAAUAUUUCUUUCCUUCGACUUCGUUUUAAAAAAUCAAUAUUUAAUUGUUUUGAAUAACAAUUUAUCAUUAGGGUUUCAAGUCACAUGUAACGAAAGGCAAUAGCAGAACCUCGUGACCCUUCUAUGGAUGGCGAAGUAGCCAAGUCAUUCACGCACCCGUUUAAAUAUGGUCUUUUGAUAUCUGUUUCCAGUUUUAAAUUCAAAUCCAAACGAGGUUAACUUUGCCGAUCAUCCUUUCAAGGUCGAUAAACAAAGUACCAGAUUUGCGAAUCUACUGGAGCGAUAUACGGGGAAGCCUUGUGGUUUGUAUGCUGGCCCUGUAUGCUGUGGGUUCAAAAUCGUACCAAGACCGCCAUUAUGGUGCAUUGGCCUUAUCCAGAUGAACUACUACUGCUGCUGCUGCUACUACUACUACUACUACUACUACUACUACUACUACUACUACUACUACUACUACUAAUAAUAAUAAUAAUAAUAAUAAUAAUAAUAAUAAUAAUAAUAAUAAAUGCCUUGAUGCAGUACCAGGCAGUGGCUCUCGUGGCUUCUGAUCUUAACUGAUUAGAAGUGUUAUCAUGUACGUUAUUUUGCCUUGGUGUAACAGAUGGGCUACAGCAAAUACUCUAAUCAAUACCACAGAUUUGCUUGUCAUUUUGUGUGACCUUCACCAUUUGAGCAUGUCCUUUGGUGGCUGACGAUAUGUGUAUCUCUGAUCACAAGCAGAAAUAAUUAGGGUGCAUCGUAGCCAUGUGUUGAGAGGAAUUUUUUGCGGUUUGAAUAAUUCACCUCUGGAAACAUGGGUGUUUCGUUCAACAUCCUUAAACAACCCUUAUUCAGGGACGUUUUAAAUGGGAUGGGUUACUCGACCAGAAGAAAAUUAUAACUGGAUCCCACCUGCAAGAUCAUGUGCUGUUUAUCUUGAUAUGAGAUCACCAUGUCGCGCACACAUGGUUGUGGUGCAUGUGCCUAGUGUACCCUUAUGAGACGGGUAGUCAUGAUGGGUAUACUGGGCUUCGUAUAUUUUACCCCAGUAAAUGGCAUGCACUGCUCUUUUACUCAAUAAUAAUAACAAUAAUAAUAGUAAUAAUAAUAAUAAUACUAAUACUACUACUACUAAUAAUAAUAAUAACAACAACAAUAAUAAUAACAACAGCAACAAUAUAUUAAACAAUGAUAUCCGAACUCAAGGAGAAUUUUUGUCCUUAUUGAGUAGGGUCAAAAACAUGUAAAUUUUACCCGACUACGUCCGCUUUGUUUUCGCGUAACCUGUUAGAACUACCGAAUGCGAUCAUAUGACCAGUUAGAAAGAGCAGCUAUUUUUUCUCUGAUAUUGCACUAACCAUCUUAUAAAAGGAAAAACAUGUUGGACACAUAUUGCUUAAUAUAUAACGAUGAUGACGAUGACGACUAUGACGACAACGACGACGACGACAAGGUCAUCCCAGAAUGCUGGAAAAAGUGAGAGAGAAACCUCAGACUUUGGCCAUAUACUUGUAACUAUAACAUAAUCUUCUCUCUAUAUAUAAACGGCAGUUUGUCUGUCUGUGUGUCUGUGUGUCUGUCAGGUUGUACCCUCACCUUGACCACGGCUUUCAACCGAUUCUGAUGAAACUUGACACACACGUAGCCCAAUGUCAUAAUUCAAAACUAACGCUGCGAAAAUUUUGAAAAGUUCCCCCAGUUCUGAAAAAAAUUUUAUAAAUUCGACAUGGGUCGAGAAUCUAAGCUUUUUAUAUGCAACACAUUUUCUACAGACUGUCUAGGGGACGCAACUCGAUCAAACUGAACAAACGAAUGGAAAAGGUUUUUUGAUGCACACGACAAAAGCGGUUUAUAAUAAACCAAGAGUUUGCAAAUAGCAUCCGAGGACCCUUAGGGUACGUCAAAAAUUUAAGGUAAAACGUUUGGGGUGGUAGUUAUAAAGAAAGUGUAAGCAAAAAAAUUAUUCGAAUAACUUGCGUCUGCAGCAGCUAUUAGCAGAAGUGGCGGUGUUGGGGGUAAAGUCUCGAAUGUAAUUUCUUCCAGGUAGGAAUUGGUUGGGUUGAACUAUCGAUAGCUGUUUGAUAGUUAUUUGGGAGUGAAGAGAAGACAUUGCAACCUACACAUGUGCCUUCGUUCCCUAGAGGGAAAGGGCUAGAUUGGGAUUAGUCGUUGCCUACUAGGGGCUCUUACAUACCCGGGCAACGCCGGGCUAUGCUGCUAGUAUAGAAUAACUGAGGACCAGGUAGUUGUAUUAAAACCAGUUGACAGAUUAAUUCUACCAGUCAAAAGUAUCUGCAAUCCAUUGGAUAGCCUCCAUAUUAAUUUUGAAUACUCAAUCAAUAUUAUUGUGCAUGAUUUAGCAGCUAAAUUCCUCCGAUAUCACAUACCACCAUCCUAAAAAGUGAAGGGCACAUUGGAGGUUUCGACACUCGAAAUGUUAUAUAAAUUGCAUUGACUCAAGUACUUCCCUGGUUCUUUAUUCAUAGACUACAUUUAGGAUAAAUGGCGGGAACAAAACUGGUGGUGAUUUUAAUUUAGACUGUGAAGUGGUAUACUUAAUUCUCCCAUCCAUUUUACAGAAAGUAUUUGAAUGGGAAGGGGCAUUCAGUGUCGGAUCUAUGGUUGAGUGAUGCAGUUGGAGAGAAGUAACAUGAAUGUUGCUUCCGCUGUUGUUUAUAUUAUCGUUCAGUCCUCAUCCAGCUUUUGUCUAGUAUAUCUAUGACCAAACAAGUUCCAACCGGGACCGCAUCGUUCCUUUAGAAGCUACGAUGGCUCAAUGACUACAUUAUAAGAUGUCUUUCAUUUAAGAUAAUGAUGUUUGUUCCGAGGACAGUUUAUUUACUAAUUUCUAGCUAAUAUGAAAACAAUCCCUUGGUGAUUCGUGAAUUAUCAUGUCGUUUUACAAUGAUAGUAUGGAUAGGUUAAACAUUUCUGAAGAGCAGACUCAAUUUGUUCUAUUUUACACGAGCAGCGGAUACAGUAGUAGCAGUAUAGGAUACAGGAGUAUGACAUAAAAUUUAUUCUAUGGGCGUGAUAAAAUCGAGAAUAAAUUUAAGUUUAACACGUGGGCAUCGGGGUUACGUCACUUGUAUAGUUCUUUUUAAAUGGAAAUAUACAUGAAUUUAUAGCUAAAAAAAGGAGAAACAAUUAUGAAGGCAAGGGAACAAUUAUACCAAGGUUAUGAGCACCAUAGAAUACAGCUAAACUUCAACAAGAACUAAAUAUCAAUAAAAGAAGCCAAUGAGGGGAAACUCUGUGUAGCCGUGCUAGCAGGAGUGGUUUUGGCUAAAUGAAGUGCGAGAUAUAUUGUGUCUAGAAAAGAAAAGAAAACGAAAACAAACGUAAUGAUCGUGGUUGCGAAGCGUUUGAUGAUUGAUGUACUCCAUUAACACUAAUCAGUCGCUAAUCAACAUCAGCAACAACCAAAGCAACAACUUAAAUUGGAUUCCUUUCGUUACAUAUCUAAUCCCUUUGGCAAUAAGAUGAACAUCACAAAAUCUAAUUUUAUAUUCCUUCUAAGUAUGAACCCAUGUGAUUAUGUAUUAAAUCAACAAUUUUUUUUCCUGAUCUCUUGGAAAUAUAUUAUUCUAACUGAAAGUUCGGUAGAACUUAUCUAAAUCAGCAGCUAGGCUGUGCAGUCUUUGUAUUUAGAGAUUUGCAGUCUUUUAAUUCAAAUCGAAGACGUUAACGCAAGAUGCCAACAAUAGAUGUAUAACGACAUAACACACCUUCUCUUUGAAGACUGCAAGCCAAUAACAUAGAAUUGGUGAAAGUCUCCCAGUCUCAAAGGCCAAUCAUCAAAUUUAAUCUCAUUCAUUCCGAUUUUAUGAGUUUUCUGAAUUGUCCGAUUGCUUUGAUGCUUCAUGCAUACACAGCACGCACACACAUAUACACACACGUACACAAACACACACACACACAAUACAUACGCUCAUACACACACUCACGAAUACACAGCCACACACACACACUGGCACAAACAUACAUAUAGAAACACACAAACACAAACACUCACAUAAAUAUAACAUACGCAUAGAGACAUUCGAACAAAACACACGCAGAUGCAUGCACACACUCACAUACAGACACACAAAUACACACACAUGUAUGUGUGUGCGUGUGCACGUGUGUGUAUGUUUUUGGUUUGAGUGUGUGUAUAUAUAUAUUUAAACGGUUAUAUAGCAAGUGUAUAUAUGAAUAUAUAACUUAUAUAUAUAUAUAUAUACAUAGGUGUAUAUAUAUAUAUAUAUAUGUGUGUGUGUGUGUGUAUGUGUGUGUCAGUGUGUGUACAUAUACUUGCACACACACACACACACAUGCCUAUAUACAUACGUAAGUGGGUGUGCAUUUGUGUAUGUGCGUGUGCACGUAUGUUUAAGUGAGUGUGUCAGUGUGUGUGUGUGUGUGUUCUCUGGUCAUGGUUAUUUAUGUAUGUGUAUGUCUGUGCAUGUAUGACGGAUUUCUUUUUCAGCUUGAAGUUUCAACUGUAGGUCAAAGUGAAUAUUAUUUGACUGCAAUUUCGCAGCCAUUGCCAUCACGGUUAAAGGAAAUUAAAUCGUAAAUAUUCUACAUCCAUUCAGUCGAUAGAUUGUUGGAACUGUCAAAACUGUUAUAUCAUUACUUCCAUUAGUAUGUGCCUUUUACUUGUACACACACACACACACACACACACACACACACACACACACACAUAUAUAUAUAUAUAUAUAUAUAUAUAUAUAUAUAUACGAGUAAGAAAGAGGAGAAUUGCUUAGAGGGCACGCACUUCUAUUUGUGCAUGUCUUUUCGUUUCAUACAAAAAAUGUCACAAAUUCAAGAGGUUUGUCUCAUGCACAGUUAAUUAUAUCUAUAUUUUAUCGUUGAAAACGUGUUACCAAAAAAGGAGUUAUUUAACGAACACUUACUUGUACUCGAACCUAUGUCGUAUCGAAGUGUGAGUCAAUAAAAAAUAAGAAGUUAUUUACUGAUGACAAAUCUCUAAUUUAGCCGUCUGUUACGGUAUAUACAAAUGGAAGUUGCAAUAAGAAUUCAUUUGUUUAACGUCAUAAAUCUGCGUUUUUUAAAUUUUUUUCUAUGUCCUUGGCUGUGUCAUUUUCUUGUUCGCAAAAGGUGUCACCAUGAAGCAACUCAUUACCAAACGCGCAACUCUCCUUGUAUGUGUCUUUUAUGUUGGAUGUAAAUGUAUGCUUUAAAAAGAAGUGAUUAAUAUAUCAAAGACACCUGUCUAUUUGUAUAUGCCUCUUACUUGCAUACAAAUGUGUGUUAUGAAAAAAUGGAAUUGUUUAACUCUUACACACAUACUGGUGGUCGGUAAAGUUCUUUGAAAAAUCAUCUACAAAUUAUUCAAAUCAUUCACUGCCGUUUCAAAAUGAGGGUGUGCAUAUUAGAUAAAGCAUGUUUAGACAUACACUUUUUAAAGCAAAACCACAAAGCUUUAUCACAUAAUUACCAUGUUUCUCUAAUGAUCAAGUUUCACAACGAAUAUAUAAUGUAAGAUAACAAGCUGGCGGAGUCGUGGGAGCGUCUGAAAAAAUUGCUGGCUUUGUGCCAUUCUUCUUCUUCUUCUUCUUCUUCUUCUUCUUCUUCUUCUUCUUCUUCUUCUUCUUCUUCUUCUUCUUCUUCUUCUUCUUCUUCUUCUUCUUCUUCUUCUUCUUCUUCUUAGCAUCCAGUCGUUAGUUAUUUGAAGAUAUUUAUUUGGCAGGUCCAAAUGUGGUGGUUUUGUAAAAGAUCUCAAACUGGAUCAAACUCUGACCUCCUGGGGCUAAAAAAGGGUAAAAAUGGAUCCAUGUCUGCCUUUGGGAGGUGCGUCUUCUUAAAAAUCAGCAACUUGCGUAUUUUUCUGUUCAUGUUCUAUACUUCAAUCAUAUUUCAUUUCAACACAUUGAAGCUCGUAAUAAUAACUGGAAUUGCUAAGGAGUUUAUAGCUAACACAUUGUUACGUGUAUUUAGUUCAAAUUUCUGAACUGCUUCAAGUCUCCUGUAAUAUUCCUCUCCCAUUUCUCUCUUUCAUGAUCGUAUGCUGAAUGCCACAGCUUUCAUUUAAAUCUGGGUAUUUGUAGGUUAGUUUCUAUUCAAGUACUUUUAUAACUCUGUUGACAUCUAACACGACUGAAUUUUGAAGUCUUCAAUUUCUCUUUCUAGAAAGUGGCCAUGGUACGCUUAUCGAGACCAAACUCUAUCUUGAUAUCAUUACUGAAUGCUUUCACUGUACCUAAUAGGCAUUUAAGCUCAUCAUUGUCUUUGCUGCUGAGUUUUAAGGCAUCCUUUUAAAACAGAUGGCUUAUUUUCUGUUUCCCAAUUUUAUGCCCAUAUUCUGUUCAAUUAAAUUUGCCCGUAGUGGGUAUUAGAGCUAUGGCAAAGAUUAGAAGUGAAUAUGGGUGGUAAAUGCCAUAUUUGAAGUUAAUGUUGUUUGAAGUUAGCAUUUCAUUAGGAUGAUGCAAUUGGAGAUUCUUAUUCCACAAUAACAUAUCAUGCUUCAGGAAAUUUGAAAUUACGGGAGAAAUUUCGAAGAUGUCUUGCGAUUUCAUGAUCCAUGAAUGUGGUAUGUUUCUGAAAGCCAUUUUUUAAUCAAUCCAUGCGGAACUGAGAUUUCUGUGCUUGUGACAGUUUUCAGGGAUCAUGCAAUUAAUUACGAGUUCAUCUUUGCAUCUUUGUCGGCACAUUUUUUCUUCAUUGGGAAAGAUAUUCGUCUGUUCCUAAAAUGCAUGUUUUCCCCCCAAACAAUAGACGCGACCGGUAAGCUUUUGAACUUUGGUUUCAUUAUCCUUUAGGACUAGGUAAAUAAGACCAUUUUCUAAUCAGUCAGGUAUUUUCUUAGGAUCUCUCAUAAUUUCAUUGAACAUCUAAACUAACUUUUCCUGUGCGCACGAUAGCAACAAAAUUGGGAUUUCCAUUUAUGAGCCUUCGUGAGUUUCAUCUUUAGGUUUGUUUUGGGGAUAUUUUCACACGCUUGUUCUUGGCAUGAUUCUUCUGUGUGUCUAAUGCAAUUUGCAUAUUCAUUGUACGCCUUCUCAUCACUCCAUAUCUUUUCCACAAAUUCCCCUACCCUGCGUCGUGGCUGAUCAAGCUGGAGCGCUUGCUCUUCUUCUUUCUGAAGAAGGGACGUGUUCCACUCGUCAGACGGUGCAUCUGCUUUCAACAGCCUCUGAGCGGCGGACUGGGCAUGGCGGGCAUAACGUGGGUAAUGAUGCGCAGACAUGCGUUCAGACUACGACAUCUCCAGCGUUUUCUUAAUGGUGAGUGGGUGUGGCCGCCAUUUAUCAGACAGAAUUUUCCGCAGCUCGUCUCAUUAACGGAGCUACAGUCCUGGAUCAAGCAAAGACCGAAAAAGGAAGCUUGGCACAUGGGGUAUUGGCAAGAGCUCACAGCCUUCUACCAGUCAAGCAAUGCUGUUGAUGGAAGUUCCACAAUAGAUUUCUAUUGGGGAUUGUUGGCGGGGAAGAGUACCGACGUCCUCGAUGUAACUCUGGGCGUCGGAAGGGAUCAGGACUUUCGGGGGAACAUUUGGGCUGGGGCCAGUGGAUAAUUUCCACAAAUCCAUGACCUGACAGUGCUACCAGGGAACUCUUCCGGUUCGAGACAAGCUCUACAGACACAGAAGUGCUGUUUGACGGAUUUGUCUGCAGUGGGUGACGAAACCGUCCCCGCAUGCAAGCGUCCCGGCAUUACUGACUUGUAGAGCUUUGUCGAACAGCUGUUGAUGAGUGUAGGACAACUUCAUUUAUCAACUGAGUCUAUCGUGAAAAUCGUCCUGCCGGCUUCUUUUAGACUGAAGAGAAAGACAGUUUUCUUCUGUCCGGUGGCUCUGGCACAGGAGGUAGUGUGGUGGACGAGAUUGAAAGGACUGAAGACAGAUUAUUUCCUCAUUGGCCAACAAGCCCUCAUCGAGUUUUUCAAUUUCCACUUGAAAAAGAAAGUGAGGGUGGAGAGCGAAGUGCUAGCCACCGUCCUAGUAUUUGUGUUGGAAGGUGGGCGAAUGUGGUAAGGAUUGCCGGUGUGAAUGGGCCUACUCUGAACAUUCUCUUGUAAAGCGGAGGAUUUGAGAGGGACAGAGGCGCCUACUAAGGUUCACCUGGUGGUCGGGGUAACCAGGAGGUGUGGGAUUCCUCAGGUUGGCCUUGUGAGAAACUCUCCACUUUGUGGGAUUUUAUUGUUUAAUUCUAUUAUUAAUGGUUAAUUGUUAUUUAUUUUUUACUCGACAUUGUGUGAAACUCCACUUGUCCCUUGUGUUGUAUUGUCUCUAUUUUUUGUGUUCAGUCUUGUGGCUAAUAGAGAAAUUAUUAUUAUUAUUAUUAUUAUUAUUAUUAUUAUUAUUAUUAUUAUUAUUAUUAUUAGUAGUAGUAGUAGUAGUAGUAGUAGUAGUAGUAGUAGUAGUAAUAGUAGUAGUAGUAAUAGUAGUAGUAGUAGUAGUAGUAGUAGUACUAGUAGUAGUAUACAAAAUAAAAUUUGUCAGCCAGUGUGACUGAAAACAAACUUCCUCGCAUUUCGGCUAUAACACAAUUUCUGAUGUAAGAUGAAGCAACAACAUUCACACUUGCCGUGUAAAGUGAAUCAGUGUACAUCACUGAAUUACAGGUAUUUAGGGAUCUCUACACCACAUGAACGCAGUAAAUAUUUGAUAUAAUUUCCACACAGGUAUAAAUUUAAAAAGAAGAUUUAAUAUUGAUGAAACUACUACAAUAUGUUUCAUCGACUGAGAAGCAUGGAAAUGCCGAGGUAGACAUCAUAGAAUAUAUAGAAAAAGAGUAAACCAUUACGGAGAUGUACUUGCAUAGCAAGUGACUUGAUCUGAGAUCGUGUGCUGAAACAAAAAUGAAUUCAAGCGUAGAAGAUGUUUAUAAGCAUCACGAAUUUUUGUCAGUGAACAGGUCGCGGUUUCAAACCGACGAAAAUAAUUUGGCACAAAUUAAUGAAAUGUUGAAAUGAAUCUAACGGGGUUUUUUUUGUGUGUUUUAAAUGGUUUAUAAACAUCUUCCACAAUAGAAGGGUAAACCAUAUAUAGAAAAAAAUAGGCGGCGAGCUGGCAGAAACGUUGGCACGCCGGCCGAAAUGCGUAGCCGUAUUUCGUCUGCCGUUACGUUCUGAGUUCAAAUUCCGCCGAGAUCGACUUUGCCUUUCAUCCUUUCGGGGUCGAUAAAUUAAGUACCAGUUACGCACCGGGGUCGAUAGAAUCGACUUAAUCCGUUUGUCUGUCCUUGUUUGUCCCCUCUGUGUUUAGCCCCUUGUGGUUAGUAAAGAAAUACAUAUAUAGAAAAAAAAUUAUAUCGGUGCUCUAAUCCUUUUGUUAACUCUUGUCAUUCUAUGAAUACAAACUAUAGUAGUAGAAACUUGCAGAUUUAGGUUUGUAUGAAAAAACUCAAGGCAUAUUAACAUUAUAUCAACUCCAUUUUCAUUUUCAUUAAUUUCAAUUUAGACUCAAGAAAAUUUUAAUUCACAGCGACUAAAUUGAUAUUCAUUGUUGUUUUAAUGUAUUUUACUUUCGACUCAUUAGAACCGAGAUCUUUUAAUGAGUGAAGUUAUUGGAGAUUUUCACUGUUUUUCAUUUUUCUUUUUUUUUUUUUUGUCAUUUACAUUCAAUCUCAAUUAUAUUGUCUAAUUAAUCGUAGUUUCAGAUUGAGAAUUAUUUAAAUUCAGAAUCUUUUGGAACCUUUUAGCUUAAGUACAGUUGAUAUUACUUUCUUAUUCAGUCACAUUGUCGUUUGAAAUAACUAACAAACUAUUCAUUGCGUUUUUUCUUCUCUAUAUAUUAUUAUAAUUCUAACCAUGUCUCUGUUCGGGUGUCAAAGAGAGAUAUAACGCACACUAUUUGUACAAGUAUGGUAAGGUGAAUCUGAAGUAUAAGACGUCGGUAAUAUUGUGAAGUUGAAGAUUAGAGGGUAACGUUACUUAUCUAUAGUUGCAUCACUACAGAAUGCGGACCUUUUCGGUUUGAACGACAGUUUUUAACAUAAUUUCUAGGUAACUAAAAAUUUUAAACUUCGUAUACUGGUGGAAUGUGUUUAUAAAACAUCUUUUUCUCUUGCCUUUAUUGAGAAAAUUCUAUAGUUAGUAAGAUAUUUGCUGUUUUUUUCUUCAAUUUCUGCAAUUUCAACCAAUCAAUGACGUCCAUUGAGUUAAAAAUCAUUCUGUGCCGUAUGAAUAUGUCCCUCGUUUAAGAAACAGGUUGGGUUUAUUUACAUUUGUGAAGAAAAAAAGAUACCCUUCCCCACCCCACCCCUAACCCUAACUAACCCUAACUCUGACCCUAACCCUAAAACAGAUUGAAAUGCAAUAGAUCGAAACUAGGGUCAUAAUUAUGGGUGACAAUUUCAUAUGACACCGCUAGAAAAAACUGCCGUUCAAACCGAAAAGAUCCCAGAAUGCACUUUAUGUGGCGGCAAAUGAAGUGUCCUGAAUGACAUUACUCAAUGUAAGAAUGGAGAGACUUGUGAGAGAUUUUGUGUCAUUUCUAUCAGACGAAGCGAUACCGAAGAUGCCUGUAACUCAGCUAAUUUUACAACGGUCCUUCUCUCAACUAAGAAAGCCGUCACCAAAUCCUAUUCAUUUACCUCUUCCGUUCUUGUCAUAUUUAACCCGUUCAUCUACUUCAUCUACUCCCAUAUAUUGCAACAAAGUGAUGAUGUGUUAAAAAACAAAAAACUAAGUGGUAAUGUUACACUAAGUGUAGGAGUCCAUGACACAAAAGAAAACUGAAUUUGUGUUGUCAUGAUGUUUUGUAAGGCUUGCAAGCUAAAUUUCACAGGUUUAAUUAUCUGCGAUAAGAGAGAAAGAGUAUAUUCAGGAUUAUAAAAUAAAAUAAUGCAAGUUUUGAACAUUUAUCACAUAAAAUUAAUUUGCAAAGGUAUAGCUAAGAAGCCACCCUAAAAAAACUAUAAAACCCUCAAGGCCCUUCAUAUUUCUUUUAGAAUCAGGAAACAUAUUUCACCUUUUUUUUAACUCAUAAAAUGGCGCUGAUUGAACAAACCAAGGACCAAAUAAAUUCUAAUCGUUACAAUCUCUUAUUCGUUUUCUUCUGGGCAUAAUGAAGACCAAGGUACAUUUCCAAACGUGUUCUUGAAAUUUUAAAACAGAUUAGCGCAUUAUUUGAGGAAGUUUUCCCCGUUAAUUUUAGCAGCAUCAGUAACCACAUAGAAUAUUUCUCUCUGGAUUAUUGGUAACUGAUAUUUAGUUAGACAUACUAAACUAACCAGAAGUGUGUAUUUUGCAUCGAUUACUACAAUUAUUCGAAUUAUUUAUGACAUCAUUUAUAAUUAAAAUUGUAUUUCUAAUUUACUGCAAUUUAAAUUUGCUUCAAACACUAAUGUAUUUCAUUCAAUUUUAUUCCAUUUCCUUACAAAUUUUCUCCGUUUUAAAAAUUAUUGCUUUGUUUUUUAUAUUCCAUUCUUGUCUGUUGUAAUGACGUUGAAUUUUAAAAUAUUUUAUCAGAUUGAAUGGAAUUCGUUUCAGAUUCAAUAUAAUAUCAUUUAAAUAUAUUACACUUUAUCAUUAGAUAUAUUUUAAUUUCUUUUCAUUCUUAAUUUCUAUUUGAUGCAGUAACGAAUUACCAUCUGAAUAGAACAGCUUAAAUGUCAAUUAAUGGUAGUUAUUUAGGUGGAAGGCCACAAAUGUAUCACCGAAACAAAGGUGUUACAACAUUAGAUUUUUUUUGAAGUGGUGAGAAAAAAACCUACUGAAAGUAGAUUUAUGCUUCAAACAAUAUUAGAAACGGCAAAACCCGCAAUAGAAAUUAAGAUAUAUAUAUACACCUGAAACGUCUUGGGUGUGAAAGAAUUAUUGACCUCAGCUGCCUUUAUACCUAAUGGUACCAAUAUUACACUGCUAAAACAUCUAGAAGCUGAGGUACCAAGUCAUUACUCCAUGCUAAUCAUUGUCAUCGCUACCACACAUGCCACCCGUCUUGCUGCAUGUAUAUUACCCACUACAUUAAACCAUCAGUUUUCUCAAAAGACUGACACAAAAUACUUGAUGGCGUCAACAAUAAAAAAAGAAAGAAACACCGUAGUACAUAUUAUCUUAGUAAUGCCAAUGUCAGAAAAGCUUGUGACUCCAAUACCCGUUCUAUACCCAUAUCAAUAAAUUCUCAACUCUACCUAAAGAAUGAAACAGAAGAACGCAAAGUACUAACAAGCAAGGUACUGCAAGGAUUCCGAGAUUUUUUAAGUGCAUUUACAAUGCAUCCACAACUUGUAAUUCUCAGAGUGGUGUACCGUCCACCCUGCUAUCCAUACUUUUUAUGUUAAAGCUACACAACUUUCACACAACAACAAAAUACAUACACUAAUCAUAUUAUUAUAAGUUUAUACGCCAGGAUUCCUUUAAUUUGCGAUAAAUUCUUUCUUUGUUUUUCUACAAAUUUCAGUCGCAGAAAAAGUAGGGCAUAUUACACUCUACAAAAAUGUGGUACGGAAGGAGCAGGGUGUUUGCAGACUAGAGUCCUGGCCUUCAUGCCUGCAAGAGGUCUGCUGAACGUAACUUCUGAACUUAAGUUAAAUCAGGUUAUAAAUGAAAUCUAACAUCCUAGUAUUCCGUGGUGGGAUUUGAAAUCAGAGCGCAAAGAGCUGUAACAAGUACUGUAACUGUCUGGUCGAAUCUCUUAGAAUAACGCAGUCGUCCGCAUGGUAUAAACAUGUUGUUUUAUCGACCCCAGAAAAAUGAAAGGUGAAGUUGAUCUUGAGAGGAUUUGAACUCAGAGCACUUAAACUUUAGAUAAAUACCGUACGACAUUCUGUCCAACACUCUUAGGAAUCUCAAUUCGCCGAUGCUGUAGGUUGAAUUGUAUUAAAUUUUAUCAAAAAAUAGGAAUACAUUUUAGAUUAGGACUUUAUGAUUUCUAAAUAUUGUUAACAGUCUGAAUUUUAUGAAGUUUAUUUUUAUAAUUUUGGAUGUUAUCAGUGUAUAGAAUGAUGAAUGUACGCACACACAUACACGGACAAAUAUAUAUGUGUGUGAGUGUGUAUUUCAUAUGUAUAUACAUUUAUAUAUAAUAUAUAUCACAUAUGUAUAUAUAUAUAUAUGAAACAUAAUUUAGAAAUUUAAAAAUAUAAAAUAUUGUACAAAAUACACACACACACACACACAUAUAUAUAUAGAUAGAUAUACAUACAUACACACACAUAUGUGUAUAUAUAUAUAUUCACACACAUAUGUAUAUAUACAUAAGUGCAUGUAUACAUAUAUAUAUAUCUUUGUGCCUGUGUGUGUAUUAACAUGCACGCAAAUUCUCUACAGAUUUUACUCUCUACCGACCACCUCCAAUGAUAUAAUACAUAAUACAUAAUUGAAUUACAAUUGCUAUACAUUGGCGUAUAAUAUAAUUAGAAUCUUCACAGAUUGUUAUAUGAUAUACUCAACUAAACAAGAAAUAAUUCUUUCUAGAUAAGAUAUUAGUUGACAAUCUGUUGUAUUCUUUAUAUUUAGACACAAUUCUCUUCCUCGACUUCCGCCCCCACACACACAUACAUGUUUAAUCCAAACAAGAACACGGUCUGAUGUAGGUUUUAAUUAAAUAAUGUCUCACUUAUUUCAUUACUAUUGUUUCGAAUUGCAAUUGUUAUAAACCAACGUAGUUCGUGUAUUUUUUUUUUAUAUUUCGUUUAUAAAUUUUGUAUUUUUCAUGCCAAAAUUUGACAUUUUUGAUAUUGCCAUUGUUUCUCCUCGCUCAGUCACUCACUCACUCACUAUCGCUAUCUGUCUGUUUGCUUCGUGGCGCCAUCCCUUUCACACAUUAUCUCUCGUAUAUACAUUCACGUGAAGGCGCCAUGGCCCAGUGGUUAGGGCAGCGGACUCGCGGUUUCGAUUCCCAGACCGGGCGUUGUGAGUGUUUAUUGAGCGAAAACACCUAAAGCUCCACGAGUCUCCAGCAGGGGUUGGUGGCGAUCCCUGCUGUACUCUUUCACCACAACUUUCUCUCACUCUUCUGUUGGCCUGCUCGCUUAGCCAGCUGGGUGGCAAAGCGCAUUGUGACCAGCGAUGUGUAGCAACAUCUGAUAGCCUGGUCGGUCACGGGAAUAUGCACACACACACACUUACACACACGUACACACACGCACGCAUAUAUAUGCAUUUGUUAUACAUCUUUUUCCCAAUGCUCUUCACAUAUUUAUAUAUUCUUAGGUUUCAUUUGUUAAUUGUAGUUGUAAUGCAGCUGAUGCCAUCGAGGAAGAUGUACCAGUUAUUAAAAUAGUGGUGAUGGUGGUAUUUUCAAAUAAGUAUUUUGCUAGCUAUAUUUCAUUCUGUUACCAUUAUACUCAUAUUCUCCGGGUAUGUAUUUCGUUUGUCAAUUAUCUUUCGUGUCUCAGUUCACCACCCUGUGUUUGUUGUUGCUGUUACGACCUGCUUCAAGCCUGAUUAAACGAAAAUCUGAUUAAAUGCGCAGGAGUAGCUGUGUGGUAAGUAGCUUGAUUACCAACCACAUGGUUCCGGGUUAAAUUCCCACUGCGUGGCACCUUGGGAAAGUGUCUUCUACUAUACUCCCGGGCCGACCAAAGCCUUGUGAGUGGAUUUGUUAGACGGAAAUUGAAAGAAGCCCGUCGCAUACACACACACACACACACACACACACACACACACAUAUAUAUAUAUGUGUGUGUGUGUGUGUGUGUGUGUAUGCAUUUCCGUGUAUGUGUUUGUGCCCCCAACAUCGCUUGACAACAGAUGGUGGUGUGUUUACGUCCCCGUAACUUAGCGGCUCAGCAAUAGAGACCGAUAGAAUAAGAACUACGCUUCCAAAGAAUAAGUCCUGGGGUCGAUUUGCUCGACUAAAGGCGGUGCUCCAGCAUGGCCGCAGUCAAAUGACUGAAGCAAGUAAAAGAUAAAAGAUAAAUGACAUUCAAACUGUGCCUAACCCAUUUUUCUAGGUAUAACUUACUUGCAUUAUAUAACUCUGGUUUACUUAUUACCAGGUGUCUUAGGUAGAGAGUGAUUUAAGAGAGUCUUGACGUGUUUAAAUAAAUAUAUACGCAUAUAUUAUGCAUUACUAUGCAUCUGUAUACGUCUGAUGUUGAAAUACCUGAAGCACCUAAUGACCUAAGGAAAUAUCUCUGAUGAUGUGUUUAGGUGCAUUUCAGGAUGAUGUAUGGAAAAUAUGAAUUAUGGAUUUUUAAGUUAGUUCAAAUAUGUUUGCAAUAUAUUUUAACUUCUAAAAUAAAUUUUCACUGCAGUUUACCGGGUAGGAAAAAUUAUCACUUAUAGUAAAAUGUGUAAAAACACACCAUCUAACUCAUAGAGGCAUUUCUGUCUCUCCAGACUUCCUCCGUGAGAGACACUGAAGAAAGAUAAACCAAAGGUGAUUCCAAAGUUAUAGCUACACCUACUGUAUUUGUUCUGACCAGGCGGUCCUGUAUCGGUAUUAUUGACUGUUUAAUUAUAAGGCUAUGAAUUUCUAAUUUGCUCAGGUUUUAUCUCACUUCGGUAUCUCGUACUAAGGAAAGAUAGGAAUCCAGGAAUGCGUCUAAGAGUACAAGAGAGCGCGGCACAGAGCCGAUAAGGUGUUUUUAAAUAGUAUAUACGUAUAUGUGUAUAUCUGUUUGCAUAUAUAAUUUAUCUAUCUACAAUUCACAAACACGCGUGUAUAUAUGUGUACACACACACUUAUGUAUAUAUAUAUAUAUAUAUAUAUAUAUAUAUAUAUAUAUAUAUAUAGAGAGAGAGAGAGAGAGAGAGAGAGACAGACAGACACAGAUAUAUGCAUAUUUACAUAGAAAACAUCUGGUCAUUGGCAAAGAUGUGUAAUUUCGAGCUUCACAAACGGCUGUGAAAUAAGUAUAUAUGUAAUAUUUUCUUCGCGGCAAUGUGCAGUGAAAUUGGUUUGGAAGACAAAAUAUUUCCUUAAUAUCUUUCUAGAAGCUUCAUGUUUCUGUCUUUCACAACUCUGUCUUGUAUCACUACUGCUAUAUGUAUCAUAUAUGUGUAUGUCUGAACAUAUACUUACAUUUGUUUAUAUUAUAACCAUAUGUGUGUUUGUAUACUCUCACACACAUGUAUAUAUAUAUAUAUAUACACGCCCACAGAACUUUAUAUAUAUAUUAAAUAUUUAACAUGAUAAAUUAAAUAUUCAUAUAUAUAUAUAUAUAUAUAUAUAUAUCUUAAAUAUUCAACAUGAUAAUUGUAUUGUAGGCAACUGGUCCUAAUGUUUUAAGUUUAAAAUUCAGUUAAUGAGUUUCUUCUAUAAGAAAGAUAAUGAUUUUAUACCUUUAAGAAAUAUUGCUUAAUUCUAUUUGCUUAUUUAUUUAACUAUUAUUGUUAACCUGAAGAGUGACUAUACAUACAUACAUACAUACAUAUAUACAUACAUACAUACAUACAUACAUAUAUAUAUAUAUAUAUAUAUAUAUAUAUAUAUAUAUAUAUAUACUGAAGGAUUAAAAUUAAUCAAAAGACAUAUUACGUAUGUUAACCUGCUGGAAAUAAUAGUAAAAAUUCUUAUUAAAAUCGGCAAGAUAAGAGUUGUGACUGUUAUUUCCAGCAGGUAGACAUACUUAGUAUGUCCUUUGAUUCAUUUUAAUCCUUCAGCUAUUUAAUAUUUUUGUGGGGUUUGCAAUCGCCUAUAUUACUGAUUUUGUUAUCAUUUUUAAAUUGUUACACUAGAUAAUAACAGAGUCAGUCGUAUCUUCGCAUAUUAUUUUUUCUCGUGAAUGAUUUGCUCUGAAGUGAUAGGCUCAAAUAAUUUCCUUUUUAUUCUCUAAAAAUGUUUUCUUUGUAUUAGUUCAGUAAACGCACCUCAGUUUUCCAUUUGUGAUUUUCAUAUCGAAUUUACUAUUGAUUUACAAUGAUGUGUAAUUUCGAGCCGCCCAAACGCCUGUGAAAUAAGUUUAAUAAGUUCUAUUCUCUUUGGGGUUUAUUUAGUUUAAACAUACAUGUAUACAUGCAAGAUUAUACAGAUACAUGCAUGCAUCAACAUAAAUACAUUCCGCGAGAUAUAUAUUCGUACAAAUAUGUAUGUAUCUAUGUCUGUCCGUCUUUCUCUCUCUCUCUCUCUCUCUCUCUCUCUCUCUAUAUAUAUAUAUAUAUAUAUAUAUAUAUAUAUAUAUAGAAUAGAGAAAAACCGCUAUUAUGCAAUUCAAACAAUGAUAUACAUAAAUCAAAUCAUAAAUAAAAGCAUAUUCUAUAGGUUAUUAAUGUUUUUUUUUAAUUAAAGCUAAAUUAUAUCUUUACACCUAAAUACAUUUUCUAUUUACUCUAUUUUUUUUAACUUUAAAUAUUUAACAUGAUAAAUGUUUUGUAGGCAACUGGUCCUAAUGUUUUAAGUUUAAAAUUUAGGCAAUGAGUUUCUUCUAUAAGAAAAAUCCUGAUUUUAUUUCUUUAAGAAAUAUUGUUUAAUUCUAUUUGCAUACUUAUUUAACUAUUAUUGUUGUUUUUGUUAAGCUGAAGAGUGACAAUAAUUUUAAAUUAAAGUUUUUCGAUACAAUUUAAAUUUAAUUGUAAUUCAAAUUUAAAUUAUAGCCAUGAAACGUUCGUAGCUUUUUUAUUUAUUACAUAUUGUUUAUUCAUUUUUGUACUUUUUAUAAUCUAAUUAUUUGUUUUAAAAUAUAUUUUUAAAAUAUAUUUUAUUUUUUAUUUAUUAUUUAGUUUAUGUCCUUCAUUGUUUGAAUUGCAUAAUAGCGGUUUUUCUCUAAUUUAUAUAUUAUAUAUUUAUAUUGUGAAAGUUAAUUUAAUAUUAAAUUGAAAUUUUCCUUGCAAGUUUGGAGUUAUGCUCCCUAAAAUUGUAAUAAUAAUAAUAAUAAUAAUGAUAAUAAUAAUAAUAAUAAUAAUAAUAAUAAUAAUAGUAAUAAUAUAUAUAUAUAUAUAUAUAUAUAUAUACAUAAUAAUAAAUAUUAGGGAAUAAAUCCAAACUUACAGAGAAAAAUCAGAUUUAGGAUUGAAUCCAAUUUUAUAGUAAAAUAUUAUAUUAUAUUAAAUUAGAGACAAAACCACUAUUAGGCAAAUCAAACAAUGAAAAACUUAAGCCAAUACAUAAGAUUAUUUAAUUUAUAUUAUUUAAGUAUAUAGCAAAAUUAUUAACAAAAUAUAAUUAAUAUCACACUACGAUCGUUUCAUGGCUGCUAACUUCUUCAAAUUUUCAAGUCACAGUCAUUCAUCAGGUGGUUUAAAUAUUUAUUUUUUUAAUAAUUUUGUUAUAUAUUUAAAUAAUAUAAAUUAAAUAAUCUUAUGUAUUGGCUUAAGUUUUUCAUUGUUUGAUUUGCCUAAUAGUGGUUUUGUCUCUAAUUUAAUAUAAUAUAUAUAUACACACACAUAUAUAUACACAUAUGUGUAUAUACAUAUGGUAGAAUAAUUGUAAAUUCGUGUUCAACAGUACUGUCAUGGGACGAAAAAGCAAAGAAGAGGUCAUUAGUUCAGAGGGACCCAAGUCUUCUGUUCUGUGUAGAUGAAGAACAGAGAGAUAAAGUAAUGGAUAUCUGAGACCAACUUUGGAGGUAAGUAAAUGCUUUAUAGUCAUUUUAUAGCAAGAUACUCAUUUACAUAAGGUAGAGACAGAACAAACGAGAAAUAAAUCGACGUAAACAGUGUAAGGAUUUCUGCCGAACAAAAUGUAAAAUGAAUAUGUAUGGUUAUUGGUAGUAAUUCUUUAACAGAUUGGUUGCCACAGAAAAUACAUAAAAGUGGAAGAUGUAGAAACCACUAUAAGCUGAAACGUAUUAAGUUUUGUCCUUCAGUUACCGCGGUGGACAUAACCAAUGCCUAUGGAUUUAUUUUUCUGGUUCCCCACUUCCUUCUCUCCUACUUCUUUCUAUCAUUCUUAUCCUCUCUCUUCUCCGUCUUCUCCAUCUCAUUUACCGCUUGUUUUUUUCUCUUCCUUCUACUCUCCUACUUUUCUGUAUUAGCUUUGUAUCAAACAUCUAGUAAAUAGUUUUAUAUUAUUGUCUCGUUUUCGAUAUUUCUUGUCAGCGUCACUAAUCCGGCCACUGCAAUCGUGUACGUAGCCUCAGUUUAAUUGAGUAUUCUCAUUAUGAACCUACAUCGUUUGCCAGUCUGAUAUGAUGGGUAUUUGAUAGAGGAGUGCGAAUGCAGCAGGAAUGGAAGAUAAUAGAAAAUAGAACAGAAUGGACUAAGCGGAUCAGGAGCAUACACGAGGACGAAAAGUGUCGCGGAAGAGGUCACAAAUGUGUGACGAGAGAUUUCUGGACAAUUGACAUCAGUUAAAAUAAGAACAAUAAUAAACGAGUAAGGGACGAAUAUAUUGUGUGUGUGUUUAUUUCAUAGGAAAACUAAGAUCAGCUUGGAAUAUAAAAAUAUCUGUUUCAACACACGGUUUCACAUUGGAAAUCUUGCAACACAAAUUCAAAAUCAUAAUAGAAACUAUUAUUUAAAAAUAGUUAAUUAUUGUAAUUAUCAUGCGAUAAAAUUAAUUAAGAUGGUGUGCACAAUAUAGGAGGAGGUUUGACAAAUUCAUUUUUUAAUGGCCUUUGUCUGGAAUGGUUUGAGUCCUCGACUCUCCAUUCGCUCUUAGUCCGAUGAGAUCGACGUGUUUGAAGGUUCUUUUGAAGAAACAGAGAGGGAAUUGCGAAAGGAAGUCGUUCAGAAGAAGACAUUGGCGUAGUAUUUAAAUUGGGAUGUGGGAUGGGAUUUAGUAGACACAAUAUCAAUAAAGAAAGGAGUAAUGACUAAAUUCACAGAGCUUGAAUUGAAACGAGCCAUACCCGUGUUUUUCGAAGAGAAAAGCGCACUGUAGUAGCAGUAGAAAAGGCAAAGACAGAUAACAGUACUUGCAUUUUCGAAUUAAGAGCUGAUGGUGUGUUGCAGGGGCGAAACCAUAUUGAGCAAGAUGCUACUUCAAGAAAACCUUCUUCAUUUACGCUUCUAAUUUCAUUAAUGAAAAUGUGAAUGUUAAAUAAUGUCAUGGUCACCAUCUUUUAGCACUCACAAUGUGUUGCUUUGGGCCCUAAUAUGAUAUAACUAUAAUAAUGACGAAUAAUACGGUUCGAUUAUCAUUUCACUGGGCAAGAUUUCCUAUGGCAUCUAAUACUGUAGAAUUUGACAUUAACUUUAAUCCCCUCUCCAAAUCGAUAAACAGGAAAUAAACUGUAGACGACCUAAGUGACUACAAAAGUUUCAUUCUUAUGGAAGAAGCUUUGUGUCGAACAAAUUCGAUAUUAAUUUGAUAACUUUACUUUCUUGCCACAUAUUUCCACGGAGGAAGCUUAAAGUCGAUUGAAUUCAUACUAUUCCUGUACUGGUGCAAAUUUUAUCGUCCACAGGGGGAUGGAAAUUAAUAAUUAAAUCUGUAAAAUUCCAAUCCUGAAUUUAGUAGGCCAUAACUAAAUAUUGCAUGUUAUUUAAUCUAGCUAUCUACCAUUUCUACCAACGCAACGCCUUCCGGAAAUACAACACUAUCGAAUAUAAAAUUAUCAACCAAACCUGACUCACUUGUCGGAUAAACUCAUAAAAAAUUUUUCUGCGGACGUUUGGACAGUGGACAUUAUUGAAUCAAUCAAAACAGUGUUUACUGCUGAACACCUGCGUUUAUUUGAUGCAGACUGACUUUUAAUUAAAUUGCCAGACAAGAAAUCGAUAUGAACUUGCAUGUCGUAUGUAGACAGAUAUUUUCAUUCUCAGGAAACAACCAUUUGCAAAACAUUGAAAUUAGACUGCGAAAGCAUGUCUGCCUUUGUUACCAAAGUACAUCGUUUCUCGUGUACGAUAUGUUGCAGUUCGAUUGAGACAACAACGUUCGUUAUUAAUCUUAUCCCAUAAAACAAAAAAAGAGGGAGAAUAGUGGUCGACAGCGGGGUAGGUGGAGCAACAUACAAAAGGCCUGUGGUAUUUAGUUUCGUUCUUUCAUGUGCUGAGUUUUAAAUAACCCCCAUCCACCUUAACCUGAUUUGUGACGUUCCCUCUAAAACAGAAAUCACAAUCUGUGGUUUUCUGCCAAUAGUGGAAAUCGUAUUAUUAGAAAUAAAUAUGGUGGUGAAUGUCAGAAAAAUCAAUGUGCUACACGAAAGAAUUAAAGUAUGUAAUUCAGCGAAUUUAUGUUCUCAGUUAUUUGAUCUCGGAUUAAACUUGAUUUGGCAAGGCUAUGAUCAAAAUCUUUUCGGCCAUUGCAAUCAUGUGUUUAGUGGUAUCGUGAAUUAAAUUAUGUAGUUUAUCUUCCUUGUUUAAAAGAUAGGAUUUCAUUUGAGAGAGAUUUGUUACUAUUUCAUGCUGGCAGAACCAUCAAGUUGAAAGCCCCUUGCUGGUUUGUGGGAUUUUCGUGUUCUAAUAUAUCGGAACGACUUUGAUAGCAAUGAAAUUAAUAUAGGGGUAAAUUUAAUCUACCAUUCUUCCUUUCCAAACUGUUGAGUUGUUAGAAGUGGAGAAAUCUAUUUUAAUAGAAUAUAGAGAAAAGAUGACUGAAAUAGCGGAACACUGGAUUAGAUAUCUAGCAAUAUUUUGCCUCAUCUAAGACGGCGAGCUGGCAGAAACUUUAGCACGCCGGGUGAAAUGCUUAGCGGUAUUGCGUCUGCUGCUACGUUCUGAGUUCAAAUUCCGUCGAGGUCGACUUUACCUUUCAUUCUUUCCGGGUCGAUAAAUUAAGUACCAGUUACGCACUAAGCUCGAUGUAAUCGACUUAAUCUCUUUGUCUGUCCUUGUUUGCCCACUCUGUGUUUAGCUCCUUAUGUGCAAUAAAGAAAGAAGAAACGUUAGCACACCGGGCAAAAUGCUUAGCGGCAUUUCGUCUGCCGUUACGUUCUGAGUUCAAAUUCCGCCGAGGUCGACUUUGCCUUUCAUCCUUUCGGGGUCGAUAAAUUAAGUACCAGUCACGCACUAGGGUCGAUGUAAUCGACUUAAUCCCUUUGUCUGUCCUUGUUUGUCCCCUCUGUGUUUAGCCCCUUGUGGGCAAUAAAGAAUUAAGAAACGUUAGCACGCUGGGCGAAUUGCUUAACAUUAUUCCGUCUGUUUUUACGUUCUAAGUUCAAAUUCGGCCGAGGUCGACUUUGCCUUUUAUCCUUUCAGGCCGAUAAUUACGAGUUGCGUACUGGAAUCUAUUUAAUCGACUGGCGUACUCCCCCUAAUUUUCGGGCCUUGUGCCUAGAGUAGAAAAGAAUAAUUUACCUCAUCUAUAGAACUGCUGAAUUCGCAUCUCACCAAUGUCGACCUUUGUUUCCUCUGCACAAAUUUAAAACCUCUAGUAACUAAUAGUAUACUAAAAUCCAGUAUGGUUGCGAACUGGCAUUCUGCCAUCUCGCCUGCCGGACAAAAAGCUUGACUGCAUUUCGUCCAUCUUUACGUUCUGACUUCAAAUUCCCGAGGUCGACUUUGCCUUUCACCUUUUUGGGGUUGAUAAAAUAAGUACCAGUUGAGCAUUGGGGGCGAUGUGAUCGGCUUAGCCCCCUACCCCGAAGUUGCUGGCUUUGUGCCAAAAUUUGAAGUUGAUAUGGUAAAAUCCAGUUGAAACUUUCAAAAGUAUUGAACUUAAUGUCUUUUAGGAGGUGUUUUUAUGAAGGGAAUAAAAUAGGAAUUUUAAUAACUGUUACAUCUUAAUUUAUAUUCCUUUGAGACGAAUUCAUACAUUCAGGUGUAAUUUCAUCUAGAAUCUAUAUCAUCACACAUUAUAAAAAAAUUUUGGAGAACCGGCUUAUGUUUUACAAUGUAGUCACACCCAUACUUAUGUCAGUGAACCAUUAAAAACAUUUGAUGUCUGCAUUGAAGUUCACACACUAAAGAGCUAAACAGUCUUAAAAGGAAACGAAAUACAUUACGAGAUAGAAAUAAAAUAUAUUUAUUAAAUUAUUUGAUAAUUUCAUGAAUAUGAAUUACAUUUUUAACGAUGUUAUAUUUUUAUUUUGUGUCUGCGAGAACAAUAGGAAUGGCUCUAAGUGUACUCUCAGUUUCCUAGAAAUAGCUGCCUAAAUUCAUUCGCAUUACAACAAACUUUCAUCGAAUGAAAUUAACUAUCUGAUCGUGUCUAUAGGAUUAGGAUUCAGAUGGGAGAUAAGGAACAUGAACAGUGCAAGUAUAACAGGGUGGUUGAGAAGCUCUUCUUGUAACCACGUAGUUCCAGGUUCAGUCCCACUGCAUGGCAACUUAAGUAACUGUCUUCAGUUACAUCUACGGGCUGAUCAGACUUAAUAUUAAGUACUGUGGUUGAUUUUUUUUUCAUUAAACCCUUCAACGCGUACCCUAGCAUGGCUGUAGUCCAAUGACUGAAACAAAUAAAACAUUUUUAAAAAUGAAAAGCACAUGUUUUAAAAAUAUAAUGUCAAUUCGAGAUGUUAUAUUUUAAUAAAUUUAAUACAUUAAACGUAAAAUAAUUUGAAUCAUAAAUCGGAAGUGAAUUUCAAAUCCUUGGUAUCAAAAAUCAGAUGUAUUGAUAGAAAUAAUGCGAAAGUCUUUAUGUGUCAUACUACAUACUAGAAAUUACAAGAAAGCUAAUCUCAAACGACAGUCGAAUGUCCUAAACAUAGACGUCUGAAGUAUAUAGACAAGCCUUGGACAUUGUCUUCGUAUAUCAGACAAGCAGUUAUGAUGGUCAUGAGUUGAUUGAAGGUAAAAUGACGAAAGUUUGACCUAGUUGUUAUGGUUCAAUUUCAAUUUGUUUUCACCGUUUCUCAAUAGAUCCGAUGUAGAAGAGAAGUUGUUACGUAUGCACUAAAGGUCCUAAAAGAUUUAGCUUACACAAGUGGUGUAAUGGGUUUUCGCUUUAACCUAACGCCUAAUCAGCUGAACGAAUACUUUCGGUGUUGUCAUAUAAUAGUUGACGGACAUCGAUAUAUUCCAUAAUGAGCACACAAAAUGCUUGAAUUUAAAUCAUCAACAUACUAAAGGCAACGUCUCAAACACUGAUUUUAUUCUUCAGAAGCAAAAAAGUACGUCAGCCACCAAUGAUUUCUAACUCUCUACAAAUUACACGUGAGAGUCUUUUUUGUAGACUACUCACAUGUUUGAGGCAAUGCUUCUGCUACACCGAACGAUAUUCUGACGAUCUCUCAAAAUAUCCAUUUGACUAUUCCAUCGAUCACCAACAUAAUGCAAACUUUGGCCCACAAUUAUGUUGUUUCAUCUCUCUACACUUUCUACCGAUACUAAUAUUGCUUCUGCUUCUUUGUGAUCACAAUACUUGUACCACUAUUGCCUUUCAUCCUUUCGGGGUCGAUAAAUUAAGUACCAGUUGCGUACCGGGGUCGACCUAAUCGACUGGCCCCCGACCCCAAAAUUUUGGGCUUUGUGUCUAGAAUAGAAAAGAAUAUUUGUACCACCAUUCAGAGACUAGAAACACGCCAACCAGUGCUUUCUUCACUUCAUAUAUUGUAUUCAUCUUCUCAAGACUAUAUUGAACUUCACGAAGAGCAUUGAAAACAUAACCCUCAUUGGACACGACAGAGGUGUUUUGAAGGACAUGGAGAGAGCCUCUUCAUCACAAGACCUUCCUCUUCGUUGUAUAGCCACAUGGUUACUAGAUUUUGCUUAGAAUCUUGCAUCAAAAUAACCUGUUCUAUUGCAAGUAAUUUUAAGCAAGAUUAUUUUACUGCUAAAUCUAGCUGACCAAUAAUGUGGAAAUGGAAUUUAGUUAACGGAAAAUUGCACCGCAGUCAAAUACACAUAAGCACACACAUGCACGUCAAUGAACACGUACGCGUACAUAUACGUCAAACUGUAUGCAUCAUGCACAUACACACAUACACAUAUGGGCGCUCGUAUUAAUCUUAAUGUAACAUAUAGAUAUAUUGUUAAUGUUGUCUACUUUUUAUCUGAUGGAAUUUUUGCCCCUCCCCUGAAGCUUCAUUUCCACCAUCCUCGGUGAUGAAUUCUCUAACUUUUGUAUAAUUAAGAACCAUUCAAAGUAAUGAUGCCAUCAUUUACAGGAAUGAAAAUUACUUUAGAAUAAUUCCUAUCAAUGAAUUAUUAAAUCCAUUCAGUUCAUUAAAAAAUAAAACUGAAAACACUAAAUGAUUUUUAAUUGGAAUGAGCAUAUAUAUGUAUAUAUAUAUAUAUAUAUAUAUAUAUAUAUAUAUAUAUAUAUAUAUAUAUAUAUGAGGGUACUACUAUUCAUAGAUACCAACACGCUAACUACUGAUAAUUUCUUUUAAAGAUUUUAUCCUCAAUUGUUAAUAUAUAUAUAUAUAUAUAUAUAUAUAUAUACGUAUGUAUUUGUAUAUAUAUAUAUACUUAUAUAUAUGUAUAUAUAGAUAUGUAUGUAUAUAUAUAUAUAUAUGCAUAUAUAUGUGUGUGUAUAUAUAUAUAUAUAUAUAUAUAUAUAUAUAUAUAUAUAUAUAUAUAUAUGUGUGUGUGUGUGUGUAUCUGUGUGUGUGCGUAUGUGUGUGUGUAAAUGGAUGGAUGAAUUAUCCUUUGUUUACAGUUAACACGGAAAAUUCAAUAAACAGUUACCAGGGUAGCAAAAUUCACGCAAGUAACAAGGAUGUAGCGACCUAUUCAAAGGUAGAAACUCCGGGUUAAUGUGCAGUAAUUUGUAUAGUAUAAGUAAAUAAAUGGAGUUGAACGCAGGUGUUAUUCAAAUUCUUUUACUUUCGACAUAUGUUUCGAAGACAACAUUGGUUUUAUUCCAAAGGAAUAAACGGUGUUAAAUAAUGUAAUAUUCUCAUCAGGAAAGAAAGAAAACCUAUCUCAACAACAAGACAUUACAACAAUUUUGAUGACUGCAUAAAUGUUAAACAUAUCGCUAUUAAGUAUUUAAAAAAACCGUUUGUAGAUCUGACGUCAAAGACAGACCAUAGGAAGAGAAGGGGUAAAUAAAUAAUACGUAGAGAAUAAAUAAAGAGGGAUAUAUUGGUUGAAAAUAUGUUCAAAGGCUUGGAAGUAGAUUUCUCUAUUGAAGUAAAGUGCAAGGUGAACUAAAUGUUCAAACUAUACAGACCGGUAUAAAUCACUUAUAUGAGCUAAAGGUAUGUUUCUGCCCGUGCUUACAUUUGUAAGAUCGCUCUAUAAGUGUGAUAACAAGGUGAUUCUUAGAGAAGAUAAUAUGGAAGAGUUCAGAGUUGCAUAUGUUACAAAAUUCUUUGCCCUGGUCAUAAGGGAACGAGAUGGACAGGAUGAAACAAUCUAACUUAAAAUCCUUAUUGUUCUCUUUAAGAUACCAAACCAAUUUACUCAGCCCUGUGCUAUUACGUUUACUGAUAUCCCUAAAUGAAGAAUAAUGAUUAGAAAUUCCCUUAGGUAACUGGGAAGAGGAAGCGCCAAUAUAGAAAUAGACAUCGGUACCUUAAGUCUUUGUGCUGUUUAGUUACAAUACUACUGUUUAGGUACAAUAUAAGUGUACUAAGGUCAAGAACUAAAAUACCAGUAAUAUUGAUUCAAUCCACUGUAUCUUUUUCCUAUGAAUUUUAGUUUCUGUUAUUUUUUCAUGAGAAAUAUGCUGUAGUAUUCAUGUUGUUCCGUUACAGAGAAAAUUAUAGUAUCAUGCUUUUGCUGGGGGUGAAUAACAUUUCUGGCUCUGUUCAUACCGGUGGACGCACCGUUUUGCGGGACACUGUGUGGAUCAAUAAACUUGCUUGAAAUAGCAGCAAAAUAUGCCCGAAAGAACACUGUACUGAUAGAAGAAUGGUAAAACACACAUAACAUGAGAUCACGUAGUUCUAGAUGGAUGCACACCUCAACAAGAAAUUAUUCUAAAGGCUUGAAUGCCAUUAGUCACACACCUCCCUGGUACCGAUCUGCUGGUUCACUAACAUCUUUUAGUUGAUCGCUACUCCUUUCAACGACCGGGAUUUCUUUUGAGCAGUGCUGAUCACUUCCAUUGGCUACUAUCCGAUACCACGACUGAGACGUUGUCCGUGGAUGCUGACACAGUUUUUCCUCGUUCUAGUUCGAGCGGAAUGCACUUCAAGGUCUCUAGCUUUCGCGUUAGUAUUUCAUGAAUCAACGGAUACAAGCGAGAGGAGAGGGGACAUCAUUUACGGACCAAGUCCAUAUUAAUGAAUAAUUACAAUGGGUGGCCAUUCACUCUAAUCUCAAAUACAUGUCGCCGUAUAUUACCACAAUCCAACCACGGAAGUCGGGACCGAGAUCGAUUGCUGUGAGAGCAACCGCCUAGUAUUAAAUGAAGGCUUUUCAUUUAUCUAAAUUCAAAAGGCCAAAAUUAAUGGUAAAUUUUUUAACCAUAUUUUCUAGGAUCCAUAACAUGAGUUAGAGGGUAUCAUAGACAGGUCUGUGCCAAACGCUGCAUAUUUUUGCACUAUUAUUUAGACAACCGGUCGCGGCGCAUGAAUUACUAGUUGGGGGUUGCACUCAUGACUGUACUAUUGAGGUUUCGAUUCCCGCACCGUGCAAGGGAUUGUGAUCUUGAGCAGAAGUAUUUCAUUUCACGGUGCUUUAGCCCACUCAGCUGCCAACAAUGAGUAAUCCCUGCGAUGGUUUGCCAUCCCAUCCAGGUGGGGAUUUACAUACGUCGCAGUAUCCGGGAAACCGGCCAGAGGAGCCUAUCACUCAGGAAAGAACAUUGAUAGCAUUUUGUCAAUUUGACCCCAUUUUCGGUUGGCAGGGAGAACCUUUUUAACAGCGCUAUCGCUCUUGAACUCACAGAACUGGGAAUUCUCCCGUUCUGCUGCCAGUUGCGCUAGAUAUCUGCCAACUCUCCAAAGAAUCUGCCCUAUAAAAGUAAAGUACGUAAACGUAUUACUAAUAUUAUUUCAAAUUUGCUGAUAAGGAGUAUUGAAAAAGGCAACAUACCGAUGGAAAACAAGAGAAGAAACAACAUAAUUCCGAAGCGGUCGAUGUUCCUGUCUUGCGAUUAUCCCAACAUUUUUUUAAUGUUUUAUUCGGCGUUCUCCUUUCUGUCUUCCUUUUUUGUAAGAGUUAAAUGUUAUCUGAGGAAGACUUGACUGCCUUUGUAUUCUUAGAUUUAGAUUUUCUCUGCUUUUCAUUGCUUAAUUUCUUAGACAAUACAUUGCAUAUAUAACGCGGCGAGCUGGCUGAAUCGUUAGCGCGCUGGGUGAAGUGCUACGCGGUAUUCCGCCCGUCGUUACGUUCUUCGUUCAAAUUCCGCCGAGGUCGACUUUGCCUUUCAUCCUUUCGGGGUCGAGUAAAAAAAGUACCAGUUACUCACUGGGAUCGAUAUAAUCGACUUAAUUCGUUUGCCUGUCCUUGUUUGUCCUCUCUGUGUUUAGCCCUUUGUGGGUAGUAAAGAAAUAGGUAUUUCGUCUGCCGCUACGUUCUGAGUUCAAAUUCCGCCGAGGUCGACUUUGCUUUUCAUUCUCUCGGGGUCGAUUAUAUAAGUACCAGUUACGCACUGGGAUCGAUGUAAUCGACUUAAUCCCUUUGUCUGUUCUUGUUUGCCCCCGCCCCCAUGCUUAGCCCCCUUAUUUAUCAAUAAAGAAAUAAAUAUUUUGCAUAUAUAUAAAUUUCCAACGCUUACAUCGUUUCAAGGCAGACACACUCCAAACCACCGACGCAAAGGAACAUAUUGUUCAGUGUCUAAGUGAAGGAAAGGUAGCAGUCAUGAUAUUUUUCAGCUUUCCAUCACUGGUAGGAAGAAGAAGAGCAACCGAGGUACAUGUCAAGGAUACCAUGAACUAGUAGGGAAAGGGAAGUAACUAUGACACGCUUGAGGGAUUCUAGGAUUGAAAGGCCGAAGGGAAGUAGCUAUGAUUUGAGGGCCUUUAAGAUCCUGGGAUGAAGGAAAGCAGAUUGACAUUCUUAAGAGGUCUCAUGUUGAUGAGAAUAAGUGCUGUAGUCAUGAUAAUAUUUAAAGCUUCAAUGACUGGUAGAUAGCUUAGGAAGCCUUUCAUGAAGAAGGCAGUACGAAAAUCUUCAGAGCCUCCAAGAUUAAUGGGCGAAAUGACAAUACCUAUGAAACACUCCAGCUCUGAAAUGGUCGGUAGGAUAAAGGAUAGCAGUAAUAAAACUCUUCGCGGCUCUGGUGACAUAUGAGAAAUAAUUUAGCAGCCGGAGCUAUCUUCAGUUGUUCAUAGACUGAUGUCACACCCUCGACAUUCCACAAAAAUUCCACGUAUGGCACUAUUCUCAGUCUAGUUACCUGGCUCAAAUACGUAAAAUAAAGAGGUCGCAGCUACAUGUAGCUAAAGGUUAAUGUUGAUAUUAAACCGGGAGACUCCUGUACGUGACUGUUUUGUUCCGAAUUAAUCCCAAUUAUAACGAUUUUUGACAGAAGACCUUCAACAUUUGAGCAGGCUAUAUUUUGUGCAUAAAUUACUACAUUCUCCAUUGUAUUUCGUUUGGUUUUAUGGCUGCCGAACAUGAGUUCAGUAAGAUUUAGCUGAAAAGUCCGCGUUGUAGUUGAGGAAACUCGUCAAGUAUUUGAGAGGAGGUAAAACUACAAAAUUUGAGGUUUAUCAGUGGAUUAUUCGACAGAUCAGAUUAUUACCUUAAACCUGGUUAUAAAAUGUAGGAUAAUAUGUGUGUAACUCAGUGAGUUAUGUACGUGUGCAUGUGACUGCUUUUCCAACAUUCAAAAG